rnacentral:lncRNA from 1 species
GGAGAGAGGAUAAGUGUUGGAAAAGAAAUGGGUGUUAAUUAUAAUAAUACUCUUCUUGUAUUAUUGUUGGUGCUGUUGAUAUUUUCCAGCACCAAUAAUAGUUGCAGAGCUGCAUUUCUUGAUUACAAGAUCAGCAGUAGAAACACCUCUUUCAGUUGCGACGAUAGAAACCUCGACGACUGCCUCAUCGCCGACGAUUUGGAGGUGGAGUUUUUGCUGGAUUCUGACAUAACCCGGAUGCUUCAACAGAGUGGGGAUCCAUUUUCUGGAUAUACACCCUCUCGAACCCAAACACCUGAAUGUAAAGACGGUUAUCCAUAUCUGAAUUGCAAAUGCCCUCCUUACAUUUUGGUUGCUAAUUUUGAUGGCAUUUGUGAAUUAUAUGUAUUUUGGUUGCUCAUUAGUCCCACUAUUAUUAAAACGUUUUAAUUUUUAAAGAUUUGUGUAAUUGAUAAUUAAAUGUUUUUUUUUUGAAAAUAUAAUUAAAUGUUAAUUAAUGCUACAAUUUGAAAAUGAAAGAAUUACUAACUGUAAGAAUUGUUUAAAAAAUAUAGUUUUUUGAAUUAUUUCAUAUAUACAAAGUUGUAUACUUGGAAGUUUUUAGACAACUUUGUAAGAUAAAAACAUUUCUAAGUUUAUUGUCAUAAAAUAAUUAUAAGUCAUUUUAAAAUUUUUCAAAAAGAAAAAUAUUUUUUGAAAAGUGAAAUUAUAACUUUAUAAACACAGAUUUAUAUAAUGUUAAUACUUUGAUUUAUGGGUAGGUAUCAUCGUCAAUCAUCAAUAAUCACCAUGCACUAGUCACGAUCACCACUGCUAUUACUAUGACCACCAAAAUUUAUCAGUAUUAAUUUGAGAUUUAAUGAAAGAAAAUAAAUUAUUUUCCUGAAACAUAUUUUCAAAUCUUAAAUAGUAUUUUAACGGUGUGUAAUUAUGUUAAGUAAUUAUGUUAAAUAGUAUUUUUAUGAGAAAUUUCCUAUAUUAAGUAAUUAUAUUUAAGUAUGAAGUUUUCAUGAGUCACUAAAGCUCUAACGUAAGCUUACAUGUAUGAUUUCAUAUGAUAAGAAAUUUUCUAUGUUAAGUAAUUAUGUUUAAGUAUGAAUUUUUCAUGAGUUUCUUACGUUCUAAAGUAAGCUUACAAUAUGAAUUUAAGAAGACUAAAGAAUAAGACAAGUUUUAUGAUAAGUGUUAUGAAUUAAGAAUUAAAACAAGGAUUUUGGGCUCUAAUAUACUCGAUGUGAAUUUGAUGCGAGAUUUGAUUUUAUUAUGUACGAUAAGCAUGCUCGGCAUUUGAUGCCAUUAUGAUAAGAAGCUAUGAUCAUAUGCUAGGCACAUGGGUGUCUUAUGUUAGGGCGGACGCGCUCUAUAUGUUCUGAAAAGGUUGGCGACCUAAGGCCAUUNNNNNNNNNNNNNNNNNNNNNNNNNNNNNNNNNNNNNNNNNNNNNNNNNNNNNNNNNNNNNNNNNNNNNNNNNNNNNNNNNNNNNNNNNNNNNNNNNNNNNNNNNNNNNNNNNNNNNNNNNNNNNNNNNNNNNNNNNNNNNNNNNNNNNNNNNNNNNNNNNNNNNNNNNNNNNNNNNNNNNNNNNNNNNNNNNNNNNNNNNNNNNNNNNNNNNNNNNNNNNNNNNNNNNNNNNNNNNNNNNNNNNNNNNNNNNNNNNNNNNNNNNNNNNNNNNNAUGUUAUUAAUUAUAAGUUUAUUUGAUAUUUCGAAGGACUAAAGUAUUUAUGGUAAUUAAAUGUUUAUGUGAAGGAUUUAUGGUAUAAUUAGAACUAAAUUAUUCAUGUUAUUAAUUAUAAGUUUAUUUGAUAUUUCUUUGCUAUAAAUGUAAAUGUAUGUUGAAAUUUAAUGAUUCUAUAAUUAUCAAUGAUUUUAUGAAAUUUGUGUUUUAAAUAAGUUGCCAUCGCAACUUUGGUAAGUAUGUGAAUUAUGAGCACCACUGAGUUUUAUACUCAGCGCGUCGAUUUUUAUCACGCGUAGGUUGAAGACCAUGGUUGCUACUUGAAGAUUAGAAGAGUAGUAUCAGAGCAGAAGUGACUAUUUUGGUAGUAGUAUAUUGAGAUUUAUGUAUUUAAGAAUUAUGGCAUGUAUAAUUAUUACAUUUGUUAGAGCUUAUGUGAUUGGAAAUAUAAGUGAAGCAUGUAAUUAUUUUUGGUGUAUAUAUUUGGAUAUAACCAUAAGAUUUAUUAAAUGAUUGAAUAUGAAAUAUUUUAAGAUAGUUGGUAUGAUUAGUGCAUUAAGACUUGAUAUAUAUAAUGAAUGCAAUUAAUUGAUGGAUAUUAAACGCCAUCGAGGAUUUAUACAAUUAUGAAAAUAUAAAAGUGUUGUUGUAUUAUGAUGAUAAUUUGGAGAUGUUGGAAGUUUGAAGUUUAAUUGGGAGUGUUUUGUAUUCACAUGUUUGGCGAGCUCAGUAUUUAAAGGGAUAUUCUUUCAGUAUUUAUGUAGGAUUUUUCCCAAUCUAUAUAACAAAAAAGAUAAGAAAAUGAAAUGAAAUUACUAUUAUAAAAAAAAUUAUUACUCGCUAAACUUGUGAAUACUCAGUUACUUCUAAUUCAUAAUUUUAGUUUUAUGAUUUAUAUGUAGACGGUGCCUCCGGCACAGAAUGUGGCAUUCGCCGUCCGGUCUCUCGGGACUGGGCAGUGGGUGUUACAUAUUCUAUUUUUGGUGUUUAUUUUAUAUAGAGAAUUUUAAUAUAAAUGAAAAUUUUGGAAAGGAUGCCAAAAGAAAAAGUCUAAAAUACCCUUCAAUAACCCUUAUUACUGCCUUUAUUUCGGUUCAAUUAACAAGAAUAGUGGCAAACAAAAUGUGGGUUGGGCAAUUAAUGAACUUAUGUUUCCAAAGCAUGAGUAAUUGCUAUGUUUAUGAGCGGUUCAGUAGAAAUGUGCUCAACUUUACAAAUUUGAGCAUGAAUAAGAGUAUUGGAUCAGCCGGGUAUCCUAAUAUGGCCACACAUUUUAAUUAUUGUGCGUUAAUAAUAAAAAAGUCUUUAUGACUGAAGAAGUGUGCUCAACUUUACACAUGUGGACAUGAAUAUGACUAUUUUUUCUCAGAAAGUUUUUAUAAUACGGUCACGGAUUUAUAUUAUUGUAUCCUUCCUCCAAAAUCGCCUUUAAAUUGACACUGCACCUUACUAAUAUGGGCACAAAUUUUUGUCUUAGCGAAUAAACCCAAUGCCCUUCUUUCACAGUAUGAAGAAGAUAAGUUCAUCAUUUCUGCUUACUAGUGCCGUAUUUUUGAAAACGAUGUAAAUCUACUAAAUUUGAGAUUGAGGAAACUCUUUAAAAUUCUUAAAGAUUUUAACUAAUGAAUGCAUCCUUCAAAUACUCUAUUAAUGAGUUGUCUUUCUAACUAUUAAUUAUGCAUUGAAAGCUAAUUGGAGGUGUUAUUGGAAAAAAUAGAUAAAAAUUUCUAUUUAACUCUUUCCUUAAUCCUAAAAUUUGUUCUGAACGGAGGUAGUAUUAUAUUAAAAAAAAUGUAGGUAGUCAAUUCCAUAAGAUGGAGAUAUCGAUUUGCUUUUUGUUUAAAAAUAAUUAGUAGUUAAAAAAAAAAAAAAGAAGACGACUUUUUGUACAAAGUGUCUCAUUUAUACUAUAUUAGACANNNNNNNNNNNNNNNNNNNNNNNNNNNNNNNNNNNNNNNNNNNNNNNNNNNNNNNNNNNCAAAAUUGAAAGAGGAGCUGAUGAAUGAUAGCCUCCUCAGAAUAUUAUUAUUCCGUCAUAUCGACUCUGCAUAUUAGAGUAAGAAUAUAUACAAGUGUGUAUCUGUUAGAGUUAUUGCUAUUCUAACGCUACUAACAAAUAUCUAUUAGAGUUAUAUCUAUUCUAACGCUAUUUUGACUAUACAAAAAUAACNNNNNNNNNNNNNNNNNNNNNNNNNNNNNNNNNNNNNNNNNNNNNNNNNNNNNNNNNNNNNNNNNNNNNNNNNNNNNNNNNNNNNNNNNNNNNNNNNNNNNNNNNNNNNNNNNNNNNNNNNNNNNNNNNNNNNNNNNNNNNNNNNNNNNNNNNNNNNNNNNNNNNNNNNNNNNGAACCACAUGACAAUCAAUGUCGAUGUGUUUUGUUCGCUCAUGAAAAACGGGAUUAGCUGCAAUAUGAAUUGCUGCUUUAUUGUCAUAAUGUAACGGAAUUGGAGUAGGAACAGUAAUGUGAAAAUCAGUAAGUAAAGAAGACAGCCACCGAACUUCACAAACAGUUGAAGCCAUAGCUCUAUACUCAGAUUCGACGAAAGAUCGACUUACAGUCGUUUGUUUCUUCGACUUCCAUGACACUAAGGAAGUACCCAAAAAGAUACAACACCCGGUAACAGGUCUCCUAGUAUCCGCACAAAAGGCCCAGUCGGCAUCUGAGAAAGCUCGAAGCUUUAGAUCAUUUGAAGCUGGAAGAAACAACCCCUUUAAAUAGUACCAUGUAAAUACUUCACCACUGUCAAUGCUGCCUGGAAAUGCUGAUGGUGAGGAGAUUGCAUAAACUGACUUAGUUGUUGAACAACAUAACUAAUAUCAGGUCUAAUGAGUGACAAAUAUAAUAGUCUGCCGAUUAAACGUCUGUAACGUUCUGGGUCUUGCAAAGGUCUGCCCAUGUCGGAACUGAGUUUGAGUCCUUGAAUGUAAGGACUAGUUGGUUUGGAAUCUUGUAAACUUGUGUUUGUAACAAUAUCUGUUAUAAACUUAUGCUGAGUUAACAACAUUUCGUCCGUUGACCGAGCUAUUUCGAUGCCCAAAAAAUACUUGGCAUGUCCAAGAUCUUUAAUAGUAAAUGUCCCAUGCACAUAAGCCUUUAAUUCAUCAAUCAAAGCAACUGAGGGACUAGAAAUCAGGCAAUCAUCGACAUAAACCAAGACAGCAAUGAAUGUAUUACCGUUACCUCGAGUGAACAAACAGUGAUCAAAAGAGGAUUGGCAAAAACCUUCAGCUAUUAAACUUGCAGUUAAUUCCUUGUUCCAUUGUCUGCCAGCUUGCUUCAACCCAUAUAGAGGCCGUUGCAAUUUGCAAACUUGCCCUGGUUUGGCUUUCUCAUACCCUGGAGGUACCUGCAUAUAAAUGUCUUCAUCUAUAGAACCAUGUAAGUACGCAUUAUUGAUGUCAAGCUGAUGCACUGGCCAAGUAAAUGCAGUUGCAAUAGUUAAAAACACUCGAACUAUAACAAGUUUCGCAAUAGGUGAAAAUGUCUGGUUGUAAUCCAAGCCAAGAAGCUGAUUGCACCCUUUAGCAACAAGCCGAGCUUUGUACCUUUCGAUACUGCCAUCAGCAUUAUAUUUAACCCUACAUAUCCACUUACAACCAAUAGGAGUAACAUUAGAAGGCAAAUCAGUAAGCACCCAUGUAUUGUUUUGUUCUAAGGCAGUCAAUUCUUUAUUCAUGGCAAUUACCCAAUUAUUGUUAUUUUUAGCUUGAUUAUAAGUGCAAGGUUCAAUAACUUUGGAUAUUUGAGCAACAAAGGAUAAAUGAGAAGAAUUAAAGUGUAUGUGGGAACUGGUUUGUGGAUUAGUGACAAAAUCAGCAAGCCAAGCUGGGGGUUUUCGUUGUCUAGUACUUCUUCGGUUCGCAGGUUGGAAAACAGGGGACGAUUCUGCUGUGACAUGUUCAACUGAUUCAAAAGAAGCAGAAUCGGGUAUAUUCAAUUGGUCUAGUUGAGGUACACUAUCUCCUUCGGGUACAUACUGUUGGUCUAGUUGCGACACAAAAUCUGUCUCAGUGGAAGGUAUAGGAUACGAUAAAACAUCAAGGUCUGCAUCGGAAAUACAUGUAGGCAAACAAAAAUCAGUGACAGUUUCGGGUUUUGUAUGAUGAAAGGGAAACACUGACUCUGCAAAAACAACAUCCCGUGAAUUGAUUAUAGUCUUUAUAAUCAAGUUGUAUAAUCAAUAUGCUUUUUGCUGUUGAGCAUAACCAAUUAAAACACAUGGAGAUGCCCUUGGAUCGAAUUUCAGUUUAUGAGGUAAGGUAUUUGUAGCGAAACACAGAUAGCCUAUAGUACGGAAGUAACUGUAAUCCACUUGCUGCCCAUGUAGUCGCUCAUAAGGUGUUUGCCAAUUCAAGUUUUCAGAGGGUAAUCUGUUGGUAAUAUGGGUGGCAGUCAACAACAACUCAGACCAGAACUUGGGUGGAAGUUUGGAUUGAUAUAAUAAGGCUCGGCCUAUGUUUAACAAUGACCGAUGUUUCCGUUCGACAACUCCAUUCUGCUGCGGAGUGUAAACACAAGAUCNNNNNNNNNNNNNNNNNNNNNNNNNNNNNNNNNNNNNNNNNNNNNNNNNNNNNNNNNNNNNNNNNNNNNNNNNNNNNNNNNNNNNNNNNNNNNNNNNNNNNNNNNNNNNNNNNNNAAAAAAAAAUUUCAGGGCAGAGAAUACUUGAUCUUUACUUUUCAACAUGUAAGUCCAACAAAACNNNNNNNNNNNNNNNNNNNNNNNNNNNNNNNNNNNNNNNNNNNNNNNNNNNNNNNNNNNNNNNNNNNNNNNNNNNNNNNNNNNNNNNNNNNNUUGAAAUUCGGCUAGGUGAAAAAGGAAUUCUGGUUUGUUUGGCAAUGGGACAAACAGAACAAAUCAAAUCAGCAUAAUCACAUUUUGAAAUACCAUCAACAUGCUUCAAUCUCUUAUGAGCAACAUGCCCUAAUCUAGCAUGCCAAAGCAUAGCUAAAUGUCUAUCAUGUUCACCACAACCAGUGACAGAAAAACAACUUAUUUGCUUAUUAAAAGAAUCUCUAGUCACAAAAUAAAGAGCUUCAAUAACUCUUCCUUCUCCCAACACCUCCUUAGUCAGUAAAUCCUGGAAUAAACAAUGUUCAGGGAAUGAGUGUAUUGACAAAUGACAAGUCCGGGUGAGCAAGUUAACGGAUAACAAGUUGUAGCUAAAUGAAGGAACAUAUAGAACAUUGUACAAAAUUAUCCGAUCAUUCAAUUUUAUGUUCCCUAUGUGUGUGACUUUUCUAGUGGAGUUAUUAGGUAAACGAAUUGUUUUGGGUGGAUUUAACUGAAUAACUUGAUCAAGGAAGGAUAAUUUGGGUGUGAUAUGGUCAGUUGCACCAGAAUCAAUUAUCCAAUUAUCCUUGCAAUUAAAAUCAAUACCAGUAAUAACAGAAUUGAGUAACGUACCUGCGAAAUUCACGUUUCUAACUGCCUCCUCAUCGGUUUCAGGAAACCCUCCUUUAGCUUGAAGAAACUUUUGAAACUCCUGCUAGAUAUAAUCUGAUACCCCUUUGUCUUGAGCAUCAUUACCCCUCUGGUUUGAGACAUGUUGUUGCAGUGGAGAGUCUGUAACUGCAAUCUGUGCAACAUUAUUUGCACUGUAAUAUUUUCUCACAUCUACCCCCUUCUUCUUUUGUAACUCGAUGAACCAACCAGGAUACCAUGAAUUUGAAAACAAUCUUCUAUAGUAUGCCCACCCAUUUUACACUUGGUGCAAUACCUCUUUUUUCUAUCCUCUUUCUUGGUAUAACAAGUGCUCCUGUUAUUGUUUCUAGAGCUGCUGGCAUUGUCUGAAUAGUUGUUGCUUCCCCUUCGAGCCAUCAUAGCAACAGCAGUUUCAGCAGAUGUAACACUACUGGUUUGCACUUCUCUCUGCUUUUCUACGCUCAUAACCAUAGAGUAAGCCUUGUUGAUCGAAGGUAAAGGUCCUGCAAUAACACCUGGUUAUUCACAUUAUCGUACUCAUCGCCCAAACCCAUCAAGAACUACAUAAGCCUUCUGUUAUUGUCAUAAUCUGUAAUUGUAGUUCCCCUCUCACAGCAUACUGGUAAAGGAGCUAGACACAAUAGCCCAUCCCACUUCUUCUUAAGUUUUGUAUAAUACCCAGUCACAGAAUCAUCUCCCUGUUUGUAACCUGUAAUUUCUCUUUCAAUCUGAUAAACCAUAGGCCCAUUGCUUUCGCCAUAUCGCUGUUUCAGCUCAUCCCAGAGGGCUUUUGCGUUUUUGCAAAAAAUGAAAGCAUCGGAUAUUUCUUUUGACAUAGCAUUAAGCAACCACGACACUACCAUACUGUCCGCUGUCAACCACUUCUCAUAAUCAUCAGAAUCUGGUUCUGGGGCUUUUAUUUUCCCAUUUACGAACCCUAACUUUUUCUUAGCUCUCAGUGCUAUUUGUACUGCUCUGCUCCAGGAAAGGUAAUUAGGCCCUUUCAAAGGAACACUCACAAGACUAAAUCNNNNNNNNNNNNNNNNNNNNNNNNNNNNNNNNNNNNNNNNNNNNNNNNNNNNNNNNNNNNNNNNNNNNNNNNNNNNNNNNNNNNNNNNNNNNNNNNNNNNNNNNNNNNNNNNNNNNNNNNNNNNNNNNNNNNNNNNNNNNNNNNNNNNNNNNNNNNNNNNNNNNNNNNNNNNNUGAAAAGGAUCAAAGCAGCCAACAAAAAAGGAAUUUCAUAAAAUAGAAAUAUACAAAAUUGAAAGAGGAGCUGAUGAAUGAUAGCCUCCUCAGAAUAUUAUUAUUCGGUAAUAUCUACUCUGCAUAUUAGAGUAAGAAUAUAUACAAGUGUGUAUCUGUUAGAGUUAUUACUAUUCUAUCGCUACUAAUAAAUAUCUGUUAGAGUUACAGCUAUUCUAACGCUAUUUUAACUAUAAAAAAUAACCACACAAAUAUACUUUAUAUUUGCUUUCACAUUUUACAAUAUCAACAAUGAAUAGAGGUCUGCCGAAGUCCACUUUUGAACUUAAAUUGGUUUUGCGAUCACACUAAUUGGAAAUUGUCUGGAAUACCUGGGUAUGGGGCCAAUAUACUAGCUUUUAAUAGAUACCUUUGCAGUUUGAAGAUGAUGAAUUGAGCAGUAUUAUCAGUAGUUCAAAUUCACGAGUUCAUCAAUCUAAUCCAAUCUUCAGGACUAGCUAUUUGCUGUUUGAUUGUUCGCGCAUGUCCAUGGAUAUCCACUCAUUUCUCAAACCUAUCUCCUCCUUUCUCUUCAUUCUUUUACUGCGACACAUCAAAAUCGCCAUUUCUAAACCUCCUUACACUCCAACUGACAUAAUCCUUUCCAAUUGUGGCUUUUCAGGCCAAACAACCGCACCUGAUGGCAGCAAAUGGACUGGUGAUUUAAACUCCAAAUUUGGCCCUGUAGAUCAUUCUAAUUCAACCAAAUCAGUAUCCGCCAUCGCUCUUAGGCAAGGCAGCUCUGUCGCGUCUGUUCCUUACAUGACAGCUCGCAUCUCUCAAACCCAAUUCACUUAUACAUUCCCUGUUACUGCUGGUCAAAAAUUUAUCCGCCUCUUCUUCUACCCAUCUAAUUAUCAAGGCGGAUUUAACAAGUCUAAGGACUUCUUUGACGUCAAAACAGGACCUUUCACUUUACUCAAGAACUUCAGUGCCUCUCUUUAUUCUUCUAACCGGCAAGAGACUUUCUUUAAAGAAUUCUGCUUAAAUGUUGCAGAGAAUCAACAACUGAAUUUAACUUUUUCUCCAUCUUUCAAUUCCUAUGCUUUUAUUAAUGGAAUUGAGAUUUUAUCCAUGCCUGCUAAUCUUUACCAUACGCCACCAGAGAUUAAAGGUCUUAAAUUCAUCGGCGAAAGAGAACAGUUUUAUGUGGGUAAUGGCACUGCAUUAGAAAAUAUUUAUAGAUUAAAUGUUGGAGCAACCACCGUUCCGUCUACGAGUGAUACUGGCAUGUAUAGAUUAUGGGAUGUUGAUAACAUGUUCUCAAAUGUCGGAGCCCUUGUCGCUGAUGGUUCGGGUCUUUCUCUUAAUUAUUCAAGAAUUCCAGCUUAUAUAGCACCCGAUGAUGUUUACUUGACAGCUCGGCAAAUGAGAAUCAUUGAUACUCAUUUGACUUGGAUUUUACCAGUUGAUCGAGGAUUCAAGUACCUUGUAAGGCUUCAUUUUUGUGAAUUUCAUGAAGAUGUUGAAAUUAACAUGAGACGAUUCAAUGUCUAUUUCGACAAUCAGACGGCGAAUCUGGGUUUUGAUGUUAUUGAAUCAAGCGGUGGUGUGUUGACUCCUAUAUAUAAUGACUAUAUAUUCGCAACUGGGAAGGAGAAAGGAGAGGUUGCAGAUGAUUAUAUCAUUUUAAUAACUUUAAGGCCGAAUUCUUCUAGUAUGUUAGGUGAUUCUUUCUUGAAUGGGCUUGAAGUUUUCAAGUUGAAUGAUUCUAACGGUCAUCUUGCCGGACCUAAUCCUGUUGUGUCUGUCUCUCCAACAACUAACAAAGCGCCGGCCAGCCAGCCACCAUCAACAACAAACAGCAAGUCCAAUACUAAAAAGGUACUGUUCCUUGCAUUUGGUGGUGGUUUGAUAAUAAUUUCUUUGUUGGGUUGUUUAGUUGCUUGGCAACUGAGGAAGAGAAAGCAUCAUCAUGGAGCUUAUUAUAAAUCAUUAAGCUAUUGUUUGCGGUUGAAAUCUUACAAAGGUAAAUCAUCAAGGACAACAGCUUCUUCCUCUCUACCGCAAGAACUAUGCCGCCAUUUUUCACUAAAAGAGAUUAAAGAAGCAACAAAUGGUUUUGAUGAGAGUUUGAUAAUUGGUUCAGGUGGAUUUGGAAAUGUUUAUAGAGCUAAUUUUGAUAAUGGAGCUACGACCCUUGCAAUCAAGCGCUUGAAUCGAGAGUCUCGACAGGGUGCUCGCGAAUUCAAGACAGAGAUAGAAAUGCUCUCCCAACUCCGCCAUGUCAAUCUUGUAUCUUUAAUAGGAUAUUGUAUCGAUGGAGGUGAAAUGAUACUAGUUUAUGAUUAUAUGAUAAAUGGUACUCUUCGAGACCAUCUCUAUGAAAAUAACAAGAAACCACUUGAGUGGAAGCAAAGGCUUGAGAUAUGCAUUGGAGCUGCGCGGGGAUUUCAUUACCUUCAUGCUGGUGCUUCACACACUAUAAUUCAUCGAGAUAUAAAGACUACCAACAUUUUGUUAGAUGAAAAUUGGGUUGCUAAACUCUCAGAUUUUGGAUUGUCAAAAAUUGGUAUAAACAAUUCUGCAAUUAGUACUGUAGUAAAGGGUACAUGGGGAUAUUUGGAUCCUGAAUAUGCUCGACGCCAUCAAUUAACAGAAAAAUCUGAUGUGUACUCAUUUGGUGUUGUAUUGUUUGAAGUGCUAUGUGCUCGGAAAGCAGUCAACCGCAAUUUGGAUGAAGAUGAGGUGAAUUUAGUCAAUUGGGCGCGAAAAUGCAUCCAAAAUGGGAAUAUUCAUCAAAUAAUUGAUCCUGAAUUAGUAGGAAAAAUAUCUCCAGAGUGUUUUAAUAAAUUUGUAGAGAUUGCAGAGAGCUGUGUGCGUGAUCAGGGUAUUGAUAGACCUUCUAUGCAUGAUGUAAUGGAGAGGCUUCAGUUCGCAUUGGAGUUGCAGCAAGCUGCAGAUUCUGAGAAAGAAAAAGUGAAUCCUGGAGGUGAAUGUUUAUAUCCUAAAGUAUCAUUUCAUCCUUCUCGAUAUGCAAAUAUAUUUGGUGGGUCCGAGUUGGCUUCAAGUAAUGCAAGUGGGUUAAUGGAUCUUGAUACUGAUACAGAUAUUACUACUGGAUAGACUUUUCCCAGUACGUUGUCUGGUAGCUUAACGUCUAGCCAUGUCUUCUCUGAUACUAUCAACUCUUGAAGAAACUAGAAAUAUUGGUUUUCUGUCUUGUGAUUUUUGUAAUUGGGAAGUGUGUCUAUGUUGUUUGGUUAAUGUUUCUGUCUUAAUUUGUCUAGAAUGAUUAAUGUGUUUUUGAAAUAGUAGGAAUUGUUAAGAAAAUAAUCAUAAUACCAAAGUUGGGUAGUGUAGGCUUCUCAUCGAACGUCUCAUUCCUUAUUGUAAAGUAGCAAUCAUUAUUCAUAUGAAUCUAAAAAAAUUAUCGCGCUUUAAUCAAGAGUGGAGGAGAUCAUUAGAUUUUUUUUUUCUAAGAAAAACCAAAAAAAAAAAAAAAAAAGAGAUAAUUGGAGUAGCAAUGAAAAUAAAGCAGCCUCAUGUGGAUCAUGCAUAAGAUAAAAGAAAAGAAAAGACAUAUUAAGCGCAGAAAACACGUCGAUUAUAAAUCAACGUUGUAAUGCUAUGUGUGGAUACCUGAAAAUGGUGGUGCUGGUCUCAUUCUAAAACUAUAAAGAAUGACUUGGAAUAAUUGUUUAAGGUCAAGCUUAUUAAUUGUUUAAAUAAAUGAAUUAUGGUUGUAAUCAGGAAAGUAGAUUAAAUAUUUCAAAAAAAAAAAAAAGUAAAUUAAGGGUGAUAUGAUGGGCCAGGCUUUGCAGCCCAAAGUCAUGAGCCUGGGCUCCACCUUGAACAAAAACUUAAGGGUUCAGUGAGGAUUGCUCCACCUUGAAAAAUUAUAUAUUUUCAUUUAGAAAAAAAAAAAAAAAAGAAAGAUAAUUUAGUAUUUUUUUUUAGUUGUUAAAAUUAAUUAUUCUCUAAUUCAUAUUUAAUUUGGUGAGAAUUUCCAUCAUAAUUAAAAAAGUGAAACAAGGACUGCAACGCCCUAACGUCUUAUUAGUUUCUCCAUUUUCCAAUUCCACCACUCACUUGGCCAUCCUUAUUAAAUUUACAGUUUCUGCUCUUAACCAGACAAGCAAGCCAAGAAAUUCCAUGAAAAUGAAUGCAGAGAUACUUGCCCUUACUGGAGCUGCCCUAGGUACAAUCGUUUUAUUAUUUCUUAUCUGGUUCACAGUUUUCUUUUAUUGCAAAAGGAAAAGAAGCAGUGAAGAGCACAUGAUUCCCAUGCCGGAAGGCAUUUGCCGCCAUUUUACAGCUAAAGAGAUAAGAAACGCCACCACCAACUUCGACAGAGAUCUUCUAAUCGGAGAUGGAGAAUUUGGUAGAGUAUUCAAAGGUUACUUGGACAGUGAAAAAACCACACCAUUAGCUAUUAAAGCUCUUAAACCUAACUCAAGCCAAGGAUCUGAUCAGUUCUGGGCAGAGAUUGAGACGCUUUCGAAGCUCCGUCAUCCUCAUCUCGUAUCUCUGAUAGGUUACUGCAAUGAUCAACGUCUCAUGGUCCUCGUUUACGAGUACAUGGCCCACGGAACUCUGCGUGAUCCUCUUUAUCAAACGCAUAAUCCUCCACUCCCAUGGGAACAAAGGCUAGAGAUUUGCAUUGCAGUAGCACGCAUACUUCAUUAUCUUCAUGCUGGCGAUUCACAUACCAUAAUACAUCGAGAUAUAAAGACUUCUAACAUUUUGUUAGAUGAAAAAUUGUACUUUCAAAAGAAUACUUCCAUCCGGUUUUGAAACUGAGUUUAAAUUUAUAAUAUUUCACAUGUAUAAUUAAAAACCACUUUAGGAUAUUGUAAUCUUAACACCGACAUUUUGAAUUUGGCCUCCAAAAGAAAAAGAAUGAAAAUUCUUAGGGAAGUCACCAUUGUGGUUACAAUGCAUAACACUGGAGUUUUUUUUUUUUUAUUUUGUAAAAACGUAUUAAUGAAUAUAACUGCAGAGAUUGUCUAUAUAAUUAAUGUGGCAAGAUUUAAAUGAAUACAUUUUGUUAACGUUAUGCAAUAAUAAUUAAUUAUAAGGGCAGGAGAAUAUAGUAGACACAAAAAAAAAAAAAAAAAAAAAAAAGAGACAAAAGAAUCAUAUUUUAUUUUUAUUUAGUAUUAGGAGGGAAUUCGAACCUGAAUCUAUUACUAGAUAGUAUAUACACUUCCCACUAAGUUAAGUCAAAAUUUUUUUAAACACUUAUUUAUUGUAUUGGUAUAUAGAUGAGUCAAUCUACAGAUAUAAACAAAUAAUAUCCCCUAUUAUCUAACUUGAAUUUAUUUAUCACAAUCAUCUCUGCUUGAAUUUAUAUAUAUAAGUAUAUAUUAUGUAUAUGUAAAAGAACAGAAAGCAUGUAGAGAAAUGCUAAAUGAAAAGCAAAACACUUUCUUUGUUGGAAAUAAAUGUCAAUAAAAUUGAGUUUAAUUAAAUGAAUAAAAAGACGAACGACAGCCACAUAAGAGCUAAAAAGGUAAGGAGGCUUAUUAUCUGUGGAAAUAUCAACGAUUCUGGUUUCUCUAUCAAGUGAUAAUAUAGAGAACAACAUGACUAAUAAUUGUCGUGCUUUUACCAACAGCGAAGGAGAUAAUUUGGAGUGGCAUAAUUGUUAAAGAUGAUGGUGCUGGUCUCUUCUAAAACUAUAAAGAAUGACUUGGAAUAAUUGUUAAAGUCAGCCUAAUUGUUUAAUUAAAUAAAUUAGAUAGAAGUAAUAGUACAUACGUAUUUUAAGAUUUUGUUUUCUAAAUUAUUUUCUUUUCCUUUACUAAUUGAGAUUAUAAAUUUAUUUAUUAAAUGAAUAACCCCAUUUACAUUAAUUUCUUACUAAACCAUUCAGUUCAAGGGUGUGCGCCGUAAUUCUCAUACUAGUUCUUAGUGAGAGUUAAAAGUAGCUUUUCCAGGAAUCAAAGUCCCCUUUUUUCUUUUAAUUUUAUGUAAGAAGUAUAUCUUUAGCCCUGUCUUGUCUAAUAAUUUCCAAGCGAUGUUGCUCUGUUACAGAACCAAAUCAAACCAACCAUGAACGCGUCUAGCUGCCGUAGAAGACUUAGAAAAAAAGUGAAACAAGGACUCCUUUGCCCUCCAAGGCCCUAAUGUCUCAUUAGUUUCCAAUUCCACCACCACUUAUAGGAGAUAUUAUUUAAGUCAUAGUCUACACAUAUUAAAUAUCACAGCACCAUUGUCUAAUAAUCAUCACAGUCCAAUAUACUUAGCCAAACCCAUAGUUAGUUACUUGUACACUAAAUCAUAUAUACUCUCUUGUAAAUAGAUAUUUUGAUAACAGUGAGAAUUACAGUUUCCAGAUGCAGCAGAGAAUCAAAAAUCUCUGCUAUUUUCAUUCCUUCUUUCCUUUAUUCAUUUCCGUACUGAUAUUGUCCAUUGUUUUUUUAAGCUUGCUUAAUCCUGUUCAUGGUAUCAAAGCAGGUUAAUUGAUCUGUUUCUUGGAUUUCUGCAAUUCAAGAGUAAAAUUUAUUUUAGAUCUGGUUGAACAUCAAGAUGAUGACUCUAGAAGAUGUGGCAAGGCUUAUUGCUGCAGUUACUAGCAAAAAUCAUGAUAAUGAUCCUCUAAUGUGAAUAACUCAGAAUCUCCUGGAUUUCGGUUGGUGAAUUCUUCAUUAAAAGGACCAGAGGAUUAUCUCUCAUGGAGCAGACGUGUAAUGGUAGCUCUCAGGGCGAAGAACAAGCUAGGUUUAUUAAUGGAACCAUAGCUCAACCUGAUUCACAGUCAGAGGAAUAUGAGAGGUGGUUACAAGCAGAUAGCAUGGUAGCUUCGUGGAUCAUUAAUGCUGUAUCCAAGGAGAUAUCAGAUGCCUUUGUAUUUUGCAAAAUUGCAAAAAUACUUUGGGAUGAGCUAAAACAGAGGUAUGGAGAGUGUAAUGGCCCAAUGAUAUAUAAGAUUGAGAGAGAAAUUGCAAGUUACAAGCAAGGAAACGAGUCUGUAACAAGUUUUUAUACAAAUCUCAAAAGAAAAUGGGAUGAAUUACUGUGUUUGGCACCUUUGCCUACAUGUUGUGGUCAAACAAAUGCAAUUACAGAAUAUGACAACAAUAGAAGGUUAAUGCAGUUUCUAAUGGGACUAGGUGAUGAAUAUGACAAUGUAAAGAAUCAAAUCCUUUUAAUGGAUACAUUUCCUUCAAUCAAUAAAGCUUAUUCCAUGAUUUUGAGUGUUGAGAAGCAAAGAGAGGUAAAUACAUUGAAUGUGGAAUCCAGUGAAACUUCAACGGUAUUGUUAGCUAGAAGGAACUACAACAGCAAUUACAACAAUCUAGGUGCAACUGGUAACAGGAAACCAUACUACAACAAAUAAGAAGACAAGAAAGACAAGUAUUGCCUCAAAUGCAAAAUGAAUGGCCAUACCAUAGACAACUGCUUCAAAAUCCAUGGAUAUCCAGACUGGGUCAUUGAGUUACAAAAGAAAAGAGGAGGCAACAUGACUGGAACAAACACGGUGAAUGCAGUUCAGAUGGAUGAUACACCUCUGUAGCAGCAGUCCACACCUUUUGCAGCAGCAAAUUGAUUAUCAGAUGGAGCAAGUUGAUGCCGACAUCAAGAAUGUUCAUUUUGCAGGUACUUUACUCAAUUCUGUCAUUUAUAGCAUUGAUUUUAACUGCAAAAGUAACUGGAUAAUAGACUCAGGUGCAACAGACCAUAUCACUGCUAAUCUAUCAUUUUUUGACCUUGUACAUAAACUGAACCCUCCCAAAACCAUUAGACUACCUGACAAUUCUACCAUACAGGUUACUCACAUUGGAAAUGUUAAAUUGAACAAUAGAAUUACUCUAUACAAUGUGUUGUAUGUGCCUUCCUUCAGCUGCAACCUCAUUUCUGUAAACUUACUCACCAAAACAUGUCAUUUGUCUGUGCACUCAUUUCCCGAAUACUUCUUAUUCCAAGAUUUACAGACUGAGGAAUUACUGGCAGUGGGAAAAGAGUAUGAAGAUCUAUACUACAUGACAAAAGACUCUUUCUUUCAAAAUAAGGGAAACAAUAUGACAGCUCAAUGUAGUAGUCAUAAUAAACAUCUAGCAAUGUUGUGGCAUUCUAGAUUAGGUCAUAUCUCAAAUAAGAGAUUGAAACAUGUGAAUGAUGUACAUGACUGUGAUUUUGUGGAUAUGGCAUGUUCUGUUUGCCCUAUAACUAAACAAACCAGAUUACCUUUUUUCACUAGUCAAAUUUCUACCUUAAAACCUUUUGAGAUUAUACAUAGUGUUAAAUCUGUUACAAAUGCAGUGUAUAUGUUGACCUUGGUGGAUGAUUACUGCAGAUACUGCUGGACUUACAUGCUAACAACCAAGAUUCAAGUACCAUCUGCCUUGAAAUCCUUUUACUAGUUAAUUCUUACCCAAUUCCAACAAAAUAUCAAGAUCUUUAGAUCUGAUAAUGGCUUAGAAUUCAUAAAUUCUGAAUGUCAGAAGUUUUUCCUUGAAAAAGACAUUAUUCAUCAAAGAACUUGUGUAUAUACUCCUCAGCAGAAUGGAGUAGUGGAAAGGAAACACAGAACCUUAAUAAAUAUUGCUAGAGCUAUAUUCCACCAAGCCAAAUUCCCAACCCAAUUCUGGUCUGAAACCUUGUUAUCUGCAACCUACAUAUCCAAUAGAAUUCCUUUUGAAAAUCUCAAAUGGCAAACACCUUAUGAAAGAUCAUAUAAUAAACCUCCAGAUUAUUCUCACUUCAGAGUAAUUGGAUGUUUAUGUUACUCAACUAAUACACUGCCACACAAACUGAAGUUUGAGCCCCGAGCACAUCCUUGUGUGUUCCUUGGUUAUUCUCAACAGCAUAAAGGGUAUAAAUUGUACAAUCUCAGUACCAAAACUUUAUUCCAUUCCAGAGAUGUGAUCUUUAUUGAAACCACUUUCCCUUUUCACCACAAAACACCUGAAACCAUAACAAAUUUUACACUACCAGCUUGCAUUUCUGAUGCAUAUCUAUCCUGAAUUUCAUUUCCCACAACAACAUUUGAUAUUUUUCCAGCAAGUUCACACAGAAAUACUUCACAAAUACAUCCUCCUUCCCCACCAAUCAUAGAAAAUGAUACAUCUCCCUCAUCUUCAGCUAAUAGAACACCUAAUUUGUCUCCACAAGGCAUAUCACAGCCCAAUUCUACUGAACCAGCUAAUAUACAACCAAACAUUCUUGAAUCAUUAUCAGCAGAUCCAAUACAGGCUCCUGUUUUAAAAAAUGUCAUCAGAACCAAACAUACACCAGCUUUGUUACAAGACUUUGUGGUUUCUCAUAUCUCCUCCACUCACACACUAGCUUCUAGUCAUUUCACACCCUCACACCUAAACUUUGUUGCACAUGUGUCUAAAGUCCAGGAACUUAGAAAUUAUAAUCAAGCUAAAAAUGAUAAAAAUUGGGUAAAUGCCAUGCAUGAAGAAUUAACUGCUCUUGAAAACAACAAUACAUGGAUACUAACUGAGUUACCCCCUAAUGUAAAACCUGUGGGGGUGUGUGUGGAUAUACAGGAUAAAGGAUAAACCAGAUGGAAGCAUUGAUAGAUACAAGGUCAGACUUGUGGCAAAGGGUUCCAGCCAGUUGCUGGGUCUAGAUUACAACCAGACCUUCUCUCCUGUGGCAAAGUUAGUAACUGUAAGAGUAUUCUUAACUGUGGCAGCAGCUAAAGCUUGGCCUGUUCAUCAACUGGACAUCAACAAUGCCUACUUGCAUGGGGCCAUUGAUGAAACUAUAUACAUGCAAGUACCACCAGGUUAUGAUAAAGCUCACAAAGGUCAAGUAUGUAAAUUGCAGGCAGGAAGACAAUUGAAGCAGGCAGGAAGACAAUUGAAUAAGGAACUUUCUGUAAGCUUAAUUUCUACAGGUUUUCAACAGUCCAUGUUUGACAACUGCAUGUUCACAAAGGGCAAAGGAGAUUCUUUUCUUGCUAUUUUGGUCUAUGUUGAUGAUUGUAUUAUAACAGGACCAUCCGAGGAGCUAAUUCAAGACCUCAAAGACUAUCUUCAUCAUAAAUUUACUAUAAAAGACCUGGGAUAUGCCAAAUAUUUUCUAGGUAUUGAAAUUGCCAGAUCAAAUGAAGGAAUUCUUCUCACUCAACACAAGUUCAUCAUAGAUAUCAUCAAAGAUUCUGGAUUGCAUAAUGCAAAAAUAAGCUCCAGUCCUUUCAUUCAGGGACUAAAGCUCAGUUCAGCCAUGGGAUCUCCUCUCUAAACUCAAGAUGUUUUCAGGAGACUUGUUGGCCGACUUCUGUAUUUGUCACUUACCAGACCUGACAUUAGCUUUACUGUCCAGUAGCUAAGUCAGUUCAUGCAAACACAUGAUCAACAACACCUUAAGGCUGCAUUGACAGUGGUCAAGUAUUUGAAGGGCACCAGUUAUAGAGGACUCUUCCUCCCAUCACAGAAUGACAUGAAGCUAAGAGCUUUUUCUGAUGCAGACUGGGCAUCAUGUGCUGAUACAAGAAAAUCUACCACAGGAUGCUGUAUUUUCCUAGGCACUGCUUUGGUCUCAUGGAAAUAAAGAAAAAGAACACAGUCAGCAGGUCCUCUGCAGAAUCUGAGUACAGGUCCAUGGCUACAACAGUUUGUGAGAUAAAAUGGCUGGAUUCCCUUCUCUCUGAUUUCCACAUUGAAAUUCCAAAACCAAUACCACUUCAUUAUGACAACAAAGCAGCAAUUCACAUAGCUGCAAACCCAGUUUUUCAUGAAAUAACCAAACACAUUGACAUUGAUUGUCAUGUUGUCAGAUCCUAGCUUCUCUUAGGCUUCAUUAGCAUACCUUACCUACCUUCAACUUGGCAACUUGCAGAUGUGUUCACUAACCCCCUGUCCACAACCACAUUUCAGUCAUUUUCUUCCAACCUUGGGUCGGUUGACUUCUCCCCACCACCAGCUUGAGGAGGGGGUAUAGGAGAUAUUAUUUAAGCCACAGUAUGCACAUAUUAAAUAUCACUGCACCAUCGUCUAAUAAUCAUCACAGCCCAGUAUACUUAGCCAAACCCAUAGUUAGGUACUUGUACACCAGAUCAUAUAUACUCUCUUGUAAAUAGAUAUUUUGAUAACAGUGAGAAUUACAGUUUCCAGAUGCAGCAGAGAAUAAAAAAUCUCUCUGCUACUUUCAUUCCUUCUUUCCUUUAUUCAUUUUCGUACUGAUAUUGUCCAUUGUUUUCUUAAGCUUGCUUAAUCCUGUUCACCACUCACUUAACUACCCUUAUUAGAUUUACAGUUUCUGCUCUUACCCAGACAAGCAAGCCAAGAAAUUCCAUGAAAAUGAAUGCAGAGAUACUUGCCCUUACUAGAGCUGCACUAGGUACAAUCAUUUUAUUAUUUCUUAUCUGCUUCACAGUUAUCUUUUAUUGUAAAGGAAAAGACACAGUGAAGAGAACAUGAAUCCCAUGCCGGAAGGAAUUUGCAGCCGUUUUACAACUGAAGAGAUAAGAAACGCCACCAACAACUUUGACAGAGAUCUUCUAAUCGGAGAUGGAGGAUUUGGUACAGCAUUCGAAGGUUACUUGUAUUGGAUAUCGGUGUAGUGAUAAACUCCAAGAUUGAUUAAUAAUUUCUAACAUAAAAAAUAAUAAUGGAAAGACAACCAAAAUAAUACUAACACAGAACACCAAAAUAAAAUUAUAUUAAUAAGAAGCAAACUUUCACAAAACUUAGGGAAAGAAUUUCUUACUUGUUUGUUGGACACAUGCAACACAAAAGAACUAGCUUUUUUAUACUAGUGAAAAAGUGGUGAAGGUCUGAAAAAUCUUAGACCAAUAAUUAUUUUUUAUUUUAGUAUCUAGAUCUUUCUCUAAUAAUAUCUAGAUUUUUUUCUUUCUAAUUAAUUCUACGCACAAAUGAUGUAGAUUUUUAUUGUCAAAGAUUCUAGGCACCAAUUAUUAAAUCUUGGCAAAUUAAUUAUCUAGAAAAUUGUAGUUUAUGUCAAAGAAGACGGUGAUAAAAAACACACCAGUAGCUUUUAAAGCUCUUAAACCUAAUUCAAGUCAAGGAUCUAAAGAGUUCUGGACAAAGAUUGAGAUGCUUUUGAAGCUCCGUCAUCCUCAUCUUUUGUCUCUGAUCGGUUACUGCAAUGAUCAACGGCUCAUGGUCCUCGUUUACGAGUACGUGGCCCACGGAAACCUCCGUGAUCAUCUUGAUCGUGGUCAUAAUUCUCCACUCCCAUGGAAACAAAGGCUAGAGAUUUGCAUUGGAGCUGCUCGUGGAAUAAAAUAUCUUCAUGCAGGUGCGGAGCAUAGUAUCAUAAUCCAUCGUGAUAUCAAAAGCACUAACAUUUCACUUGAUGAAAAGUGGGUCCCAAAAGUUUCUGAUUUUGGACUGUCGAGAUUGGGCCCUACAAGCUUAUCUAUGAGCCACGUAACCACCGAUGUAAAGGGUGCAUUUGGGUAUUUAGAUCCUUACUAUUUCACUAACAACUUGAGUGUAAAAUCUGAUGUGUUUAGCUUUGGAGUAUUACUAUUUGGAGUAAUAAUGGAGUAGCAGUACCAGGAUGUACCCGUCGUCAGAGUCCAUCUUAUAGAUGCAAAUGCCCUAUCUACAGACCUAGAUGCUAAUUAAGCAACGAAAGAACAGUAUAUAUUACAGUAUACAAAGCAAACCGGUUCCAUGUAUUAUUCUAAUUAAUAUUUAUGUUGGCUUUGCAAUGGUGUAUUGUAAGUGUUUUUCCCUCAUGUAUUACUGUAUUUGCUCCCAGUAAAGGAUGAUUGUUUGACAGAAUUCAACUUGUUUAUGCACUAUCUUGAUUUUUUUAAAGAUUUUAAAGGAACCCUUAGAAAAAACUUGAAGAAAAAUCAAGAGAGAAUUGUCGGAGCUUGAAACUCAAUUUGCAGUAUUACACCGGACAAGACACACAUUUGACCCAUACUAUUAGCGUCAGAGAAAGAACGAUUUGAUGUCUGUUUGCCAUAAUUUGAUUGUUAUGGUUUUGAUAAAUACUAGUAUUAGUGUGUGUUUCUCUCCUACGAAAAGUACUAUAUGUCAAAGGCUAAGUCAUGCGUUCACAUCAAUUGAUUGCCAUUUGUCUGGCAGUUCAGGAGGAGAUUAGAGUUUUAACCUGCAGAUGUAAACUCAUAUAGAUCCCAUAGAAGUAUUUUGGAAGACAACUUUUAUGUCUUUCCACAUAUGUGACUGUAAAUAAAUUAAAAGGGCCAAGCAUAGAUCUCCAUUCGUUUUCUUAUUUUUAUGCAUCUUUUUAUCUUCUUUGCUGCUUAUUCCUAAGACAGAAGACACCUUUGAAUAAUAAUUAGCAUUCAAAUUAAGUUAAAUGAAUUUGAAUUGGUAUUAUUAUUAAACUAGUCGUUAUUUCGCAUUUUGCACUCGGAUGUUAUAUAUUUAAAUAAAUAUUAUAUAUAAAUGUUAUAUAUAAAUAAAUAUUAUAUAUUUAAAUAAAUAUUAUUAUCAAUUACGUUAUUAUUUUUAAAAAGUUUUUAUUUUUAAUAUAAAUAUCAGAAAAGCUUGAAUACAGAUUUUUUUUUCUUUUUUUUUUUUUUUUGUUAUCAGUUUGGUUUUCGAGAAUAUACGAAAAAUGAAUUAGGGUAUGAAAAAAUUGAACUGUAUGUUCUACAUAUAGAGAGGUCGAUAUAGGCAUAAUUUUUUAAAAAAAAUUUAAUAAAUUCAAAAGUUAUAUUUUUAGCUGGAUCAAGUUGGAUGAUUGGAUAAAUUUUGGUUUCAAAAAUUAUCAAAUAUCAUUGUUAUAUAUUAAAUAUUAAAUUAAAAAAUAAUUACGUUGACAAAUCAAAAAACAUAAAAAAAUAAGGGAAAAAAAGUAAAAAACACAAAAUUUUCUAAAAAAGAAAACUAGGAUAAAGAAUGAAGAGAGCACCUUUGAAAUAGGCUCUGCAUGCUGAUAUUUAUACUUUUAAAAAUAAUUAUUAGUUUAUUGUCAUAUUAAAAUUCAGAGAUUUUUAAUUUAAAAAUUGAACUUUUAUAGUAGUUUUAGAUAAUAACAUUUAUCAUUUUAUUAAGUCAACCUUGUUUAAAUGAAAAGCAUAUUACAGAUUUACAUUACAUAUAAAUAUAUAGAUUUGCUGAUUAAAGGAAGAAGGAUUUUCCACUUUCGGAAUAAGAAUAAUCUGAGCACUGCCAAAGGCUUUCGGAAUGGGCAAACCCAAGUAAAACUCCUUCACUGCACUACACACAUCUCACUGUAUUAUCUCCCAACACUCUCUGUAGAAUCUGCCAUCAAAACCAUCAGGUCCAGGAGCACUAUUUGGAUCAAGCUGCCAAAUAGCCUGUUUAAUCUCAUCCUCAGUUGGAGAUCUUUCAAGGUUUUUGUUAUUUUCCUCAGUAACCAAAGAUGGUAAGUAAUCCAGAAGAGGUUGAUAAAUCUGCUGAGUAUCACUCCACUUGAAGAGAGAAGAAAAAAAAGUGACACCUUCCGCACCCAAAUUAGCUUGAUUAGAAAUCCAUGUCCCUUCCUCGGUCUUAAUAGUGGAAAUACGAUGAAUUCUCCUAGUCAUCUUCACAUAAUUAUAGAAAAAUUUUGUAUUUGAAUCACCAUCAGCGAGCCAUUUAAUAUGAGCUUUUUGCUUCCAGAAGGUCUCCUCAAUCUUAAGCUUUCUAAUCAAGUCACACUGUUUCUCCUGCCAGACUUUCCUGUUGUGCGAUGAAGGGGUUGUAUCAAAAGUAGCUUCAGCUAAUUCCACUUCCUUUUCAGCUUCUUGAACUGCAUCAAAAAUAUUGCCAAAAGUAUUUUUGUUCCAUUCUCUAAUUGCCUUUUUCAAAGCAAAUAACUUAAGACAAAGUCCACGCAUGCCUCCAGGCAAAUUUACUUUUGCUUCAGCCUACAAUUGUGUUAGAGAGAGUAAAGUUUCUUGCCUUUCAAGCAACGCUAUUUGGGACUCAUCUUUCCCGCUUAAGCUUUCCAUUUUUACAUGGAAACUCCUCAGGGGAGCUUUACCUUUGUCGCGACGUCUUCAAUUAUUUGGGAUUUAUGGUCCAUCCCGGUGCCCAUUUUGCUUCAAGUCGGAGACAACUGCUGACCACCUUUUUUAUUUCUGCCCCAUCAUUGCUAAACUUUGGAAUUACUUCGGCUCUUUUUUCCUAGAUACUCUUGAGUCACAAAAUUCUCUGCGGUAAGCGUUGAUCUUUUGGUGGCUUUGUGACAGACCUGAUUCGAGUUUGGGUAAGCUUAGGCGCUUGGUACCACAGGUAAUAGUAUGGUCUGUGUGGAAAAUGUAUUGUAAGUGUAAUUGGGGUAAUAAAGCUUGCUUUCCAGACCUCUUUUUACAAGAUAUCAGUAGGUUGCUAUUAAACUGGAGCAUUGCCAAUUCUGGUAAGAGAUUUGCAGCAACUUGGCCAGCAAAAGAUGAUUGCCACUUCAUUUCGGCUUCUUUUGGCAAAUAAAAAUUAAAGCCAAUGAUUAUUACUUGGAUUCGACCUAGGCAAGAUUGCUAUAAACUGAAUAUUGAUGCGUCUUUCAACAAAUUUUCAGCAGCGGGGGGUGCUAUCCUCCGAAAUAGCCAUGGUAAUUUGUUGCUGCCGCUUGUUUUCCGAUUGAUGCCGGAAUAGCUUAUGAUGCAGAGCUUGAGGUUUUGAUUUGGAGGCUUUCUUGGAGUAUUGAUAAAGGUUUUUAUCCCCUCCAGGUGGAAAUGGAUUGUAUGGAACUAGUUGCUCAUAUUAAUUGGGCACAGUGGAUUAGAGCAGGCCCUUCGGUUUUGCUGCGUGUUGCUGAUUUGUUACAUCUUCACUCAUCUUCCAUUCAUCACAUAUAUCGUGAAGGAAAUCAAGCUGCUCAUUUUUUGGCCACUCAUCACAGACUUCAUCAUACUUCUCUUUCUUUUACCUGUUUUAUUUCUUUGCCUCAUUUGCUUAAAGGAAUUGUAUUAUUGGAGGCUAUAGGGACUACAUAUUUGAGAUAUAAAUAAAAUAAAAAUAUCUUUUAUAUAUAUAGAUUUGCAUUAGGAGAAAUUUCUAUGAACAAAAUUAAAUGGUUUGAUACUUUUGUUGUCAAAUCGUAUAUUAUCAGGAUAUUACAAUAAAUAAGAGCUUCAUCCAAAAUAUUACUCACAUCAUUAAUAUAAACCAAAUUCAAAUAUAAUCUUUAAGAUAUUAAAUAUUAAGAAAGAAAAUAUCCAUAGAAAAUAUUAAGAGAAAUUAUUUUUUCUCAUUUGGAAAGGAUGGAAAAAAAAAAAAGAAAAGAAAAAUAUGUACUAUUUUUCUAAUGAACCGAGAAAAUUAAAAUUUCUUUAAAUUAGAGAACAAAAUAAUGAAUGAAUUAAGAAACUAUAUUGUUUAAUGUGAAAUUUAUUUAUUUUUUCUUUGAUUAUUUGCUUUCUUUCAUUUCUAAAUAAAAGAAACUUAAUUAACUCUAUAAAAUUGCCAAUGAUUAAUAUUGACAAUUCAUAGCUCUAAACAUUUUUUCUUGAGGUUGUGCAUUUCGGUUCUGACCCAAUUCUCAACAAGACUGAAAAUUAAAAUUGUUGUUCAGUUCUUCUCAAAUUUGAAAUUGAAAUCAAAACCGAAACUAAAUGAUUUAGGAACCAAAAUUAGAAAACAAACCAUAAUUUGGUUCAAUUAUAGUUUAAUCCUUAUGUUCUUUGAUUUUGAUUUAUCGAUUCUAAUUUCAAUUUCAUUUUUCAUAUUAAAAAUCAAUAUACUAUCUCUGUAUUGAUACCAUUAAAUUAAAAUAAUUCAAAUAUUAAACAAAGAUUACAAUAUAUAUAUAUAUGUGUGUGUGUGUGAUAAUGCAAAUUAUAAGAUAAUUGUAAUAAUAUUGGAUAGAAUAACCUCCAAUAAUUUUUUUCGAAGGGAUAAAGUAUUUUUAAUGUAACUUUAUUAAAGUUGCCAAACGAAAUAUAUUUCACAUGAAUCACGCUCAUGGGGAACAAACCUUAUCUUCCCUCAGCCAAUCUCGAUUUUUCUUUUCCAAUUAGGAUUUUGUUUCACAAGUUUUCACAAAUAAAAAUUUUAAUUCAGAUAAUAUUUCUCUUUAUAUGUGUAGUUUUUUUAUUAAUUAAAUAGAAAAUAUACGAUACAAAACUGUUACAAAUAGGCUGAAUACAUAAUUUAAUUCUCGAAUUUUGACAAAAAAAUUUUUUAGUACUCUAAAUUUAAAAAUUAACUUUAUGACAAGUUUAAAUAUAUAAUCUAUAAAAGUAUUAUAUGGCCUCUUGAAUCUUAAAAAUGACUUUGUAUUUUCUUGAAUUUCACAUUUAAUCGUAUAACUACUUGAAUUCUAAUUUUUUUAUACUCGUGGAUCUCUGAAGUUGAUUUACAUUUUAACCUGCAAGGUUUGGGAUUGUCCCUAUGUAUAUAUAUAUUAUAUAUUCACCAAAGUUCACCAAAGUAUAAAAAUCAACUACAAAGCAGGGUAACCGUUGAAAAAACAUGAUGAAAAAUUAGUAUAUUUUUGCAAAAUAGAAUGACAAAAUAGUAAUUUCAAAAUUUUCAAAAUUUUUUAUUUAGAGGCAACGAAUUUCUGACAACUUUACAAAAGAAAUGUUGGAACAUCAGUGACAGUGGCAGAUAGAUUCCAUGGCUUUUCUUUUUCAUUUUCCUUCUUUUAGUUCCAAAGAAUGAUCACUUCCACUUCUUUUUCAAUUGUAUAACAAUUUUAUAACCUUAAUCUUUGAUUAAAUUUCUAAACGUAUAACAAUUUAUGGUAAAUGAUAUAUAUGUUUUUUUAAUUUAUAAAUCACAAAUGUUGCAAAAAGUGAAAAAAAUAUUUUAUUUGACGAAAAACCAAACAAGGCCCAACGCAGUCAAAAAGAAAGGGACGCACUAAUAGCAUCAAUCAUUGAGUGAAGAGGCAAAAAUGCACCUCCCAAUAUUAAAAAAAUUGACGCACUCACUACUACUUUCAAAAAAAAAAAAAAAAAAAAAAAAAAAAAGUGUAAGUGUGGAAUUUGCUUUUGCUUUUGCUUUUUAGUUAAUUAAUGGAUAGCAAAUAGAAAGAGCACCAUGUGGAUUGUGGACUGUGCUUUUACUCAUUUAAAGACAAAAAAAAAAAAAAAAAGGAAAACUGAGCCUUCAAUUUGGAUUUUCGAAUAAAGCAUGAAUUUUGUGGACCUCUUCUCACCAUCUUUACAAAAAGCUUUUAAAUAAUUAAUUUAUGUUAACAAUAAGAGGUAAAGAAUUUAAGAUUAUAGCAUUAAUUAGGAAUUUCAACGCCCAAAUUCUAUCUUCUAAUCAUUAUAUUUAAGGAACCCUAUAUCCUAAAUAAAUAGCUAAAAAUUGUUAGUAUAUCAAAAAUAAUAUUUAUUAGAUCAAUUUUUUAAUUGAAUUUGAAUAAAUUCAAGUAUAAAAUGUGCAUUAAAAUUCUUAAUUGACAGGAUCAAUUUUAUAUAAAUUGUUUGAUAAAUUUAAUUUUGAUUUAAUAAACAUAUUUUAAUGUGAUGAGAAUUAUAACAAUUAUUUCACAUUUUCUAAAAUAUAAUUGCAUUUUCCCUUUUUCUUUUUUUGAAGAAAAGAACUUGUAGAACAAUUAUUUCACUUCUAGGUUUUAGUGCAUCGGGUCAUAUUUGUAAGUCCACUCCUCCAUGAGUCUAUAUAUACACAUACUGAGUGUAAGGUGACAAGAAAUGAGCGGAGAGAGGAUAAGAGUUGGAAAAGAAAUGGGUGUUAAUAAUAAUAAUAAUACUCUUCUUGUAUUAUUGUUGGUGCUGUUAAUAUUUUCCAGCACCAAUAAUAGUUGCAGAGCUGCAUUUCUUGAUUACAAGAUAAGCAGUAGAAACACCUCUUUCAGUUGCGACGAUGGAAACCUCGACGACUGCCUCAUCGCCGACGAUUUGGAGGUGGAGUUUUUGCUGGAUUCUGACAUAAGCCGGAUGCUUCAAGAGGGUGGGAAUUCAUUUGCUGGAUAUACAUACACUCCAACUUCGGUACCUGUAUGUAAAAAAGGUCGUUCAUAUAGGAAUUGCAAUUGCCCUCCUUACAAACCACAUAAAAGAGAUGACGAAUGCUAUAAAUAGAUGACGAAUGCUACCGUUAGAUCAUCUGCUUUAUUUCUGCCGUUCAAUCAUCGCUGUUCUGUCUCUUUUUCUCCUCUUUUUUUUUUUUUUUUUCCAAUCCCAUUGUUGUCAUGUUAUUGUCUGAUCAAGAAUGCGUUUCUUCUUACUUCAGUGGGCAACGUAUGUCAGUUUUCGGCAGAAGAAUAAAGAACUUAUGCUUUUGGUUGCUAAUUUUGAUGGCAUUUGUGAAUUAUAUGUAUUUUGGUUGCUCAUUAGUCCCACUAUUAUUAAAACGUUUUAAUUUUUAAAGAUUUGUGUAAUUGAUAAUUAAAUGUUUUUUUUUAAAUAUAAUUAAAUGUUAAUUAAUGCUACAAUUUGAAAAUGAAAGAAUUACUAACUGUAAGAAUUGUUUAAAAAAUAUAAUUUUUUGAAUUAUUUCAUAUAUACAAAGUUGUAUACUUUUGGAAGUUUUUAGACAACUUUGUAAGAUAAAAACAUUUCUAUAAGUUUAUUGUCAUAAAAUAAUUAUAAGUCAUUUUAAAAUUUUUCAAAAAGAGAAAAAUAUUUUUUGAAAAUUGAAAUUAUAACUUUAUAUAAUGUUAAUACAUUGAUUCAUGGGUAGGUAUCAUCAUCAAUCAUCAAUAAUCACCAUGUACUAAUCACGAUCACCACUGCUAUUACUAUGAACACCACAAUUUAUCAGUUUUAAAUUGAGAUUAAAUAAAAGAAAAUAAAUUAUUUUCCUGAAACAUAUUUUCAAAUCUGAUGCUACAGGGAGGAUCUUGAAUCACAUGCAGGCCUCUAUCCAAAAGAAGAGCAGAGGAGGCCAAUGCAUCAGCAACACCAAUAUCCUCUCUAUAGACAUGUUUAACCACAACUUGCCAGUCUCUUCUCAACAAAGUCUAAUAUACUGAAAUAAUGUUCUUAUGGCGCAGCAAAGAAGAAGAUGGAAAAUUAAGAACACAAGCUAAUCCCUUUUUUAAUGGCAGACAAAUAUACUAAAUCACUAAAAAAUCUAAAAAAAAAAAAAAAAAAGAUAUGAUGCCACUUCAACAAUAAACUCACAGUAUAAUGUCAACAUAAAAUCGCCACAUAUAUAUAAGCAAGCUUCAACUUUUAUAUAUUCAUUUAUAUAAAUAGUGAAUUUACAAGUUUAAAUAAAAAAUCGCAGCAGCUCUCUCUUUUCUUUUCUCCUUCUUCUUUAUUAAAAUUAUUUUCUUUUUCAAUAAAAUACAAGAAUCAAAAGUGACAGCUCCUCCCUCUUUUCUCUUUUUCUUUUGUAAAUUUAAAUUUUUAUUAAAUAAAUUAUCAAUCUAUAUUAUUUAUAUUUUUGUUAUUUUCUUAUGGUUUAUGUUCAUCUUGUGCCGAGUUAUUUGUGAUCUUCACCAUAUGUAAAUCUUUUUUUUUCCUUUUUUGCAGCAACCUACAAAUUUCAAAUUUACUUAUUAGAUCUAAAAAUUUUCAAAUUUACUUUUUAGUUUUUCAUUUUCAUUAGAUUUCUUAUUAGAUGAACAAACUUUAUUAUACUAUUACUUUAGUUAUAACAGUAUUGCUUAAUAUCUAAUCUCCGGAAAAGGACCCUAUUCUUCAUGUAUUAUUAUGUUAGUUUGAAAUUAUUAUGAUAUCCUAACGUAAUCUCUCAGUUCUCUUAUUUUAGAGAAAAUUUCCAUUUUCGAUAUUUAUUUUAUAUAGAGAAUUUUAUCAUAAAUGAAAAUUUUGGAAAGGAUACCAAAAAAAAAAGUCUAAAAUGCCCUUCAAUAACCCUUAUUACUGCCUUUAUUUGGGUUCAAUUAACAAGAUAGUGGCAAACAAAAUGUGGGUUGGGCAAUUAAUGAACUUAUGUUUCCAAAGCAUGAGUAAUUGCUACAUUUAUGAGCUGUUUAGUAGAAAUGUGCUCAAUUUUACAAAUUUGAGCCCGAAUAAGAGUAUUGGAUCAGCGAGGUAUCCUAAUAUGACCACAUAUUUUAAUUGUUGUGCGUUAAUAAUAAAAAAGUCUUUAUGGCAAAAGAAGUUUGCUCAACUUUACACAUGUGACAUGAAUAUGACUAUUUUUUCUUAGAAAGUUUUCAUAAAUUGUCACGGAUUUAUAUUGUUGUAUCCUAUCGCCAAAAAUUGCCUUUAAAUUGACAUUGCACCUUACUAAUAUGCGCACAAAUUUUUGUCUUAGCGAACAAACUCAAUGUCCUUCUUUCAUAGUAUCAAGAAGAUGAGUUCGUCAUUUCUGCUUACUAGUGCCCUAUUUUUGAAAACAAUGUAAAUUUACUGAAUUUGAAGUUGAGAAGACUCUUGUAAUUCUAAAAGAUUUUGACUAACAAAUGCAACCUUAGAAAUACUCUAGUAAUGAGUUGUUUUUCUGAUUAUUAAUCAUACAUUUAAAGCUAAUUAGAGGUAUUAUUGACAAAAAAUAGAUAAAAAUUUAUGUUGAACUAUUUCUUUAAUACUAAAGUUUGUUCUAUUUUCUUUAAAGUAAGAGAACGGAUGUAGUAUUAUAUUAAAAAAAAUGUAGGUAGUCAAUUCCACGGAGAUAUCGAUUUGCUUUUUGUUUAAAAAUAAUUAGUAGUUAAAAAAAAAAAGAAAAGAAAAGAGAAGGCCACUUUUUGAACAAAGUUUCAGGUUUACACUAUAAUAGUCAAUAAGUGAAUUUGCUUUCACAUGUUACAAUAUCAACAAUGAAUAGAGGUCUGCCGAAGUCUACUUUUGAACUUAAAUUGGUUUUGCGAUCACACUAAUUGGAAAUUGACUGGAAUGCCUGGGUAUGGGGCCAAUCUACUAGCUUUUAAUAGAUACCUUUGCAGUUUGAAGAUGAUGAAUUGAACAAUAUUAUUAUCAGUAGUUCAAAUUCACGAGUUCAUCAAUCUAAUCCAAUCUUCAGGACUAGCUAUUUGCUGUUAGAUUGUUCGCGCAUGUCCAUGGAUAUCCAUUCAUUUCCCAAACCUAUCUCCUCCUUUCUCUUCAUUCUUUUACUGCAACACAUCAAAAUCGCCAUUUCUAAACCUCCUUACGUUCCAACUGACAUAAUCCUUUCCAAUUGUGGCUCUUCAGGCCAAACAACCACAGGUGAUGGCCGCAAAUGGACUGGUGAUUUAAACUCCAAAUUUGGCCCUGUAGACCAUUCCAAUUCCACCAAAUCAGUAUCCGCCAUCGCUCUUAGGCAAGGCAGCUCUGUCGCGUCUGUUCCUUACAUGACAGCUCGCAUCUCUCAAACCCAAUUCACUUAUACAUUCCCUGUUACUGCUGGUCAAAAAUUUAUCCGCCUCUUCUUCUACCCAUCUAAUUAUCAAGGCGGAUUUAACAAGUCUAAGGACUUCUUUGACGUCAAAACAGGACCUUUCACUUUACUCAAGAACUUCAGUGCCUCUCUUUAUUCUUCUAACGGGCAAGAGACUUUCUUUAAAGAAUUCUGCUUACACGUCGGAGAGAAUCAACAACUGAAUUUAACUUUUUCUCCAUCUUUCAAUUCCUAUGCUUUUAUUAAUGGAAUUGAGAUUUUAUCCAUGCCUGCUAAUCUUUACCAUACGCCACCAGAGAUUAAAGGUCUUCAAUUCAUCGGCGAAAGAGAAAAGUUUUAUGUGGGUAAUGACACUGCAUUAGAAAAUAUUUAUAGAUUAAAUGUUGGAGCAAGCACCGUUCCGUCUACGAGUGAUACUGGCAUGUAUAGAUUAUGGGAUGUUGAUACCAUUUUCUCAAAUGACAGAGGCCUUGUCGAUGAUGGUUUGGGUCUUUCUCUUAAUUAUUCAAGAAUUCCAGCUUAUAUAGCACCCGUUGAUGUUUACUUGACAGAUCGGGGAAUGAGAAUCGGUGAUACUAAUUUGACUUGGAUUUUACCAGUUGAUCGAGGAUUCAAGUACCUUGUAAGGCUUCAUUUUUGUGAAUUUAAUGAAGAUGUUGAAAUUAACAUGAGACGAUUCAAUGUCUAUGUCGACAAUCAGACGGCGAAUCUGGGUUUUGAUGUUAUUGAAUCAAGCGGUGGUGUGUUGACUCCUAUAUAUAAUGACUAUAUAUUCGCAACUGGGAAGGAGAAAGGAGAGGUUGCAGAUGAUUAUAUCCUUUUAAUAACUUUAAGGCCGAAUUCUUCUAGUAUGUCCGCUGAUUCUUUCUUGAAUGGGCUUGAAGUUUUCAAGUCGAAUGAUUCUAACGGUAAUCUUGCCUGACCUAAUCCUGUUGUGUCUGUCUCUCCAACAACUAACAUAGCGCCGGCCAGCCAGCCACCAUCAACAACAACCAGCAAGUCCAAUACUAAAAAGGUACUGUUCCUUGCAUUUGGUGGUGGUUUGAUAAUAAUUUCUUUGUUGGGUUGUUUAGUUGCUUGGCAACUGAGGAAGAGAAAGCAUCAUCAUGGAGCUUAUUAUAAAUCAUUAAGCUAUUGUUUGCGGUUGAAAUCUUACAAAGGUAAAUCAUCAAGGACAACAGCUUCUUCCUCACUACCGCAAGAACUAUGCCGCCAUUUUUCACUAGAAGAGAUUAAAGAAGCAACAAAUGAUUUUGAUGGGAGUUUGAUAAUUGGUUCAGGUGGAUUUGGAAAUGUUUAUAGAGCUAAUUUUGAUAAUGGAGCUACGACCCUUGCAAUCAAGCGCUUGAAUCGAGAGUCUCGACAGGGUGCUCGCGAAUUCAAGACAGAGAUAGAAAUGCUCUCCCAACUCCGCCAUGUCAAUCUUGUAUCUUUAAUAGGAUAUUGUAUCGAUGGAGGUGAAAUGAUACUAGUUUAUGAUUAUAUGAUCAAUGGUACUCUUCGAGACCAUCUCUAUGAAAAUAACAAGAAACCACUUGAAUGGAAGCAAAGGCUUGAGAUAUGCAUUGGAGCUGCGCGGGGUUUUCAUUACCUUCAUGCUGGUGCUUCACACACUAUAAUUCAUCGAGAUAUAAAGACUACUAACAUUUUGUUAGAUGAAAAUUGGGUUGCUAAAGUCUCAGAUUUUGGAUUGUCAAAAAUUGGUGUAAACAAUUCUGCAAUUAGUACUGUAGUAAAGGGUACAUGGGGAUAUUUUGAUCCUGAAUAUGCUCGACGCCAUCCAUUAACAGAAAAAUCUGAUGUGUACUCAUUUGGUGUUGUAUUAUUUGAAGUACUAUGUGCUCGGAAAGUAGUCAACCGCAAUUUGGAUGAAGAUGAGGUGAAUUUAGUCAAUUGGGCGCGAAAAUGCAUCCAAAAUGGGAAUAUUCAUCAAAUAAUUGAUCCUGAAUUAGUAGGAAAAAUAUAUCCAGAGUGUUUUAAUAAAUUUGUAGAAAUUGCAGAGAGCUGUGUGCGUGAUCAGAGUAUUGAUAGACCUUCUAUGCAUGAUGUAAUGGAGAGGCUUCAGUUCGCAAUGGAGUUGCAGCAAGCUGCAGAUUCUGAGAAAGAAAAAGUGAAUCCUGGAGGUGAAUGUUUAUAUCCUAAAGUAUCAUUUCAUCCUUCUCGAUAUGCAAAUAUAUUUGGUGGGUCUGAGUUGGAUUCAAGUAAUGCAAGUGGGUUAAUGGAUCUUGAUACUGAUACAGAUACUACUACUGGACAGACUUUUCCCAGUAUGUUGUCUGCUAGCUUAACGUCUAGCCAUGGCUUCUCCGAUACCAUCAACUCUUCAAGGAACUAGAAAUAUUGGUUUCCUGUCUUGUGAUUUUUGUAAUUGGAAAGUGUGUCUGUGUUGUUUGCUUAAUGGUUCUGUCUUAAUUUGUCUAGAAUGAUUAAUGCGUAUUUGAAAUAGUAGGAAUUGUUAAGAAAAUAAUCAUAAUGCCAAAGUCGGGUAGUAUAGGCUUCUUACCGAGCGUCGCGUUCCUUAUUGUAAAGUAGCAAUCAUUACUCAUAUGAAUCUAAAAAAAAAAAUAUCGCGCUUUUACGAAGAGUGGAGGAGAUCAUUGGAUAUUUUUUCUAAGAAAAAAACAGAAGGAGAUAAUUGGUGUAGCAAUGCAAAUAAAGCAGCCUCAUGUGGAUCAUGCAUAAGAUAAAAGAAAAGAAAAGGCAUAUUAAGCACAGAAAACACUUAAAUUAUAAAUCAAAGUUGUAAUGCUAUGUGUGGACACCUGAAAAUGAUGGUGCUGGUCUCUUUCUGAAACUGUAAAGAAUGACUUGGAAUAAUUAUUUAAGGUCAAGCUUAUUAAUUGUUUAAAUAAAUGAAUUAGAUGGUUGUAAUCAGGAAAGUAAAUUAAAUCUUACAAAAAAAAAAAAAAAAGGUAAAUUAAGGGUGAUAUGAUGGGCCAGGCUUUGCAGCCCAAAGGCAUGAGCCUGGGCUCCACCUUGAACAAAAACAUAAGGGUUAAGUAAGGAUUGCUCAACCUUGAAAAAUUAUAUAUUUUCAUUUAGAAAAAAAAAAAAAAGAAAGAUAAUUUAGUAUUUUUUUUCAGUUGUUAAAAUUAAUUAUUCUCUAAUUCAUAUUUAAUUUGGUGAGAAUUUCCAUCAAACAAGGACUCCAACGCCCUGACGUCUUAUUAGUUUCUCCAUUUUCCAAUUCCACCACUCACUUAACCAUUCUUAUUAAAUUUAAAUUUUCUGCUCUUAACCAGACAAGCAAGCCAAGAAAUUCCAUGAAAAUGAAUGCAGAGAUACUUACCCUUACUGGAGCUGCACUAGGUACAAUCGUUUUAUUAUUUCUUAUCUGCUUCACAGUUUUCUUUUAUUGCAAAAGGAAAAGAAGCAGUGAAGAGCACAUGAAUCCCAUGCCGGAAGCCAUUUGCCGCCGUUUUACAGCUAAAGAGAUAAGAAAUGCCACCAACAACUUCGACAGAGAUCUCCUAAUCGGAGAGGGAGGAUUUGGUAGAAUAUUCAAAGGUUACUUGGACAGUGAAAAAACCACACCAGUAGCUAUUAAAGCUCUUAAACCAUACUCAAGCCUAGUAUCUGAACAGUUCUGGGCAGAGAUUGAGAUGCUUUCGAAGCUCUGUCAUCCUCAUCUCGUAUCUCUGAUAGGUUACUGCAAUGAUCAACGGCUCAUGGUCCUCGUUUACGAGUACAAGGCCCACGGAACUCUCCGUGAUCAUCUUUAUCAUAGUCAUAAUCCGCCACUCCCAUGGAAACAAAGGCUAGAGAUUUGCAUUGCAGUAGCAGGCGUACUUCAUUAUCUUCAUGCUGGCGAUUCACAUACCAUAAUACAUCGAGAUAUAAAGACUUCUAACAUUUUGUUAGAUGAAAAUUGUGUUGCCAAAGUUUCAGAUUUUGGAUUGUCAAAAUCCGUGGUAAAUAUUUAUGCAGUUAGCACUGAUGCAGCAGGUACAUUUGGGUAUUUGGAUCCAGAAUAUUAUUUUAGCCGCCAAUUAACAGAAAAAUCUGAUGUUUACUCAUUUGGUGUUGUGUUGUUUGAAGUAUUAUGUGCUCGACCAGUAACCAACAUGCAGUUGAAUAAAGAAGAGGUAAGUUUAAUCGAUUGGGCGCGAAACUGCAUCCAAAAUGGAACCAUUCAUCAAAUAAUUGAUCCUAAAUUAAGAGGAAAAAUAUUUCCAGAGUGUCUUAAUAAAUAUGUGGAGAUUGCAGCGAAUUGUGUGCGUCGUACAGGUAUUCAAAGACUUUGUAUGGAUGAUGUAAUAGAAAAUCUUGAGUUUGCAUUGGAGUUGCAACAAACUGCAGAUUCUGAGAAGGAAAAAAUGAAUCCUGGAGGUGAACAUUCAUAUCCCCAAGUACUAAUUCAUCCUUCUCUACGUGCAAAUAUAUAUGGUUGGUCUGAGUUUGAAACUGAUAAUUUUCCCAGUAUUUCGUCUGAUAGCUUCUCUGAUACCAUCAGCUCUUAAUGCAUUUCCGUUUUAGUUUCUGUAGAAUGGUUAAUGAGUAUUUGAAAUUGUUAAGAAAAUAAUCAGAAUCAUAAAUAAUGUGUGAUUUUGUGCUGUAAAAUGCCAGAUUUUUUUAAGUAAUUUUGCUGAACAUACCCUUAUUAGUUUGUCCUAUGCAUGGAUCAUUCUAUUGAUUUUAAUAUCAAAUGGCAGUGAAAUAUUGAAGGAAAAUAUUAUUCCGUCAAUAUAUUUUCUCCUGUUUCUAAAUAAGGGGAAACUUCCAUCCGGUUUUUGAAACUGAGUUUAAAAUUUUAAUAUUUCACAUGUAUAAUUAAAAACCACUUUGGGAUAUUGUAAUCUUAACACCUACAUUUUGAAUUUGGCCUCCACAAGAAAAAAAAAUGAAAAUUCUCAUGCAUGGAAGUCACCAUUGUGGUUACAAUGCCAUAACACUGGAGUUUUUUUUUUUAUUUUGUAAAAACAUAUUAAUGAAUAUAACUGCAGAGAUUGUCUAUACAAUUAAUGUGGCAAGAUUUAAAUGAAUACAUUUUAUUAACGUUAUGCAAUAAUAAUUAAUUAUAAGGGCAGGAGAAUAUUAGUAGAGACAUAAAAAAAUAAGACAAAAGAGUCGUAUUUUUUCUCUUUUUUAAUAUUGGAAGGGGAUUCGAACAUGAAUCUAUUAUAUCCACUUUCCACUAAGUUAAGUUAUAAAAGUUUUUUAAACAAUUAUUUAUUGUAUUGGUAUAUAGAUGAGUCAAUAUAUAGAUAUAAACGAAUAAUAUCUCCUAUAUAUAACUUGAAUUUAUUUAUCGCAAUAUCUUUGCUUGAAUUUAUAUAUAUAAAUAUAUAUUAUUUAUAUGUAAAAGAACAGAAAGCAUGUAGAGCAAUGUUAAAUGAAAAGCAAAACACUUUCUUUGUCGGCAAUAAAUGUCAAUAAAAUUGAGUUUAAUUAAAUGAAUAAAAAGAUCGAACGACAGCCACAUAAGAGAUAAAAGCUAAGGGAAAAAAAAAGAAGUUCCAGGCUUAUUUAUCUGUGGAAAUAUGAACGAUUCUGGUUUCUUUAUCAAGUGAUAAUAUAGAGAACAACAUGACUAAUAAUUGUCGUGCUUGUACCAAAAGCGAAGGAGAUAAUUUGGAGUGGCAAUGCAAAUAAAGCUGCCUCGUGUCGACCAUUCAUAAGAUAAAAGAAAGGAGAAGACUUUAAUUAUAAAACACAAUUUUUCCUAAAGAUGAUGCUGCUGGUCUCUUCUAAAACUAUAAAGAAUGACUUGGAAUAAUUGUUAAAGUGAGCUUAAUUGUUUGAUUAAAUAAAUUAGAUAGAAGUAAUAGUACAUACGUAUUUUAAGAUUUUGUUUUCUAAAUUAUUUUCUUUCCCUUCAAUAAUUGAAAUUAUAAAUUUAUUUAUUAAAUGAAUAAUCUCAUUUACAUUAAUUUCUUACUAAACCAUUCAGUUCAAGGGUGUGCGCCAUAGUUCUCACACUAGUUCUUAUUUCUUAGUGAGAGUCAAAAGCAACUUUUCCAGGAAUCAAAGUCCCCUUUUUUCUUUUAAUUUUAUGUAAGAAGUAUAUCUUUAGCCCUGUCUUGUCCAAUAAUUUCCAAGCAAUGUUGCUCUGUUACAGAACCAAAUCAAACCAACCAUGAACGCGUCUAGCUGCCAUAGAAGACUUAGAAAAAAAGUGAAACAAGGAUUCCUUUGCUCUCCAAUGCCCUAAUGUCUCAUUAGUUUCCAAUUCCACCACCACUCACUUAACUACCCUUACUAGAUUUACAGUUUCUGCUCUUAACCAGACAAGCAAGCCCAGAAAUUCCAUGAAAAUGAGUGCAGAGAUACUUGCCCUUACUGGAGGUGCACUAGGUACAAUUGUUUUAUUAUUUCUUAUCUGCUUCACAGUUUUCUUUUAUUGUAAAAGGAAAAGACACAGUGAAGAGAACAUGAAUCCCGUGCCGGAAGGAAUUUGCCGCCGUUUUACAGCUGAAGAGAUAAGAAACGCCACCAACAACUUCGACAGAGAUCUUCUAAUCGGAGAUGGAGGAUUUGGUAGAGUAUUCAAAGGUUACUUGGACAGUGAAAAAACCACACCAGUAGCUAUUAAAGCUCUUAAACCUAACUCAAGCCAAGGAUCUAAAGAGUUCUGGACAGAGAUUGAGAUGCUUUCGAAGCUCCGUCAUCCUCAUCUUGUGUCUCUGAUCGGUUACUGCAAUGAUCAACGGCUCAUGGUCCUCGUUUACGAGUACAUGGCCCACGGAACCCUCCGUGCUCAUCUUUAUCAUACUCAUAAUCCUCCGCUCCCAUGGAAACAAAGGCUAGAGAUUUGCAUUGCAGCUGCUCGUGGAAUAAAAUAUCUUCAUGCAGGUGCGGAGCAUAGUGUCAUAAUCCAUCGUGAUAUCAAAAGCACUAACAUUUUACUUGAUGAAAAUUGGGUCCCAAAAGUUUCUGAUUUUGGACUGUCGAGAUUGGGCCCUACAAGCUUAUCUAUGAGCCACGUAACCACCGAUGUAAAGGGUACAUUUGGGUAUUUAGAUCCUUCUUACUAUUUCACUAACCACUUGAGUGUAAAAUCUGAUGUGUUUAGCUUUGGAGUAUUACUAUUUGAAGUACUAUGUGCUAGACCAGCAGUAGACAUAAGGCUGGAAGAAGAGCAGCAUAGUUUGGUUCUGUGGGCCAGACAACAUGUUAAAGAUGGAACGCUUGAUCAAAUUAUUGACCCUAAUCUAACGGGUGAAAUAGCGCCAGCAUGUUUGAAGGUCUAUCAGACGAUUGCAGUCAAGUGUUUGCGCGAGAAUAGAAAUGAAAGACCUACAAUGGCCAAAGUGUUGCAAAAGCUUGAGUUGGCAUUGAAGCUGCAGGAAAAUGCCGAUGCUGCUGCGGAGGAGGGAAUCAUGUUUGAUGGGUGUGAAAGAGAGGAAAUUUCGCUACGUGGAAGCGGUAAUAACAGUGGUUAUUCAGUAAAGUCAUGCCCAGCAUUUUGGCAUAAAAAACCAUUAUCAGAAACGGAAGGUUUGAAGUUUCUAAGUGAUAGGCCAAGAGGUUUUAUUAAGAGACCACCUUCUUUACGUAGGCUUAAAGGUUUAUUUUAUGCAGUAUUUGCAUACAAGUCAUUGCCACGUGAGAAAGAGCAGUCGUUGGAUUCAUCAAGCACGUGUGAGCAUGAUUUGGCUUCAGAGAGUACAUGGAUAGAGAUCAUGGCUCAUCAUCAAGAUCAAUCAUGAGAUAUAUAUAUAUUAAAUUUCUUUUUGUUAGUGGGAACUAAAGAGUAAUGUGUUGAACUAAUUAAAGAUGUUUCGUGUUUCACGCAAAUUAAAGAAGUUUAAAGUUUACAAGGUAAAGCAAAAAAGUUAUUGCUUUUCCUUUUGAUUUUUGGCCUGUCUGCUAGCUUUAUUUAAAACAAAUUAUUAUCAACUUUUCAUGGGAAAAGACUUGGACUUGUCAUUACGAGUAUUCAUCAAUUUCAGUAAAUUAUUUAAAAAGAUUAAAUAUCAUAAUUUUGAAAAUUUAGUUGUUUGAUUUAAUUUGAAAAUAUAAAAAAUAAAAAGUAAAUUUUUUUCUAAUUUUGUAUUCAAAACCGUUCAAAUAGAAUAUAUAAAAAUCAAAUUCAGAUGACCAAUUACUUCUUUUCAAUAAUUUAUAUCUUACAUAUGUUAAAUAAUAUAAUUUCUCAUACUCAAAAUUUUAUUUACGUCUCACACAUAGUAAAUCAGCAAGUGGUUUUUCAUUCAUAAAUAUAAAUGAUUUGUUAAUGUAAUUUUUGUUUAUUUUCUUUUAUAAUAAUAAUUGAUUUGGUUUGAAUAACUUCCAUAAAUUAGAUCGAUUUAAAUUUCUUAAAAACUGUCAUAAUUAAUUGGAUUUUGUACAAAUAUUCCUAAACCAUGAAUAACCCUACAUGCUACAUUACCUUUACAUACUCUGGUCUAGGUGAAAGGCCAAAAUGAUGGGCUGGGCUUUUCGACUUUUGGGCAGGGGGACUUGCCUUCUUAAGAAAAAACGAACGUGUCUAAAGUUAAGGAUUGCUAGACUUUGAUGAGAUGGUGUUAGCUUCAAAUUGUUAACUUUUAGAUGGAAGCUCUGAUGUUUGUUAAAAAUAGAUCGCUUAGGCAAAUUUCUUAAAUUAAGUAUAAAAUAUAUAAAUAUAACCAAAUGGUGUAGUUUCAAACUUAUUCACCAAAAGACUGUGAUAUGAAUUUUCAAAGCAAAAUGUUAUAUAUUGUGAAAAUUUAACAAAUUGGUAAAUACUAUUUGCUACACUAAAAAAAUAGCAAACAAAUUUGAUUUUAUAUUAUUUUUGGAAAAAUUGUUACUAAAAAAUAAUAUAGGAGAAUUAUCCAUUAGUUUUGAUCAAAUAUACAAAUUAGUUAUCGUUUUUUCCAUCCAAUAAUUUAAUUAUUUCGUCUGUUUUAAGAGCUUUUACCAAAGUAUAUGCAGCUUGUUAAAAAUUUAGGCCCUAUGAGCAAAUUAAUCAAAUUCAAGUACGAGUUUAGCUUAUCUUUAAUACAAAAUGACCUAAGCCAUUUUAAUUGAUUCACCUUCUCAUUAUAUGUCAUUUACUUAGUUUGUAUUUAUCCAAUGUAGGAUUAUCCACAUACUUCAACACAGUUAAUGAAAACAAGAUCUAAAACAAUUUCAACCAAGAGAUCGAAUACCUCAAUUUAAAAAAAAAAAAUUACAUUCCAAACAUUAAAUGCAUAUAUGACAAUCAUACCCAAAUGCUAAGAAAAAAAAAAUUUACAGUUGGGUAUAUAUGACUAGCAAUAAAAAUGGAUAUGCAAACUUAAUUUCAUUAAUAUUCAUAUUGUGCGCUUCAAUCUUAAUUUCUACCCAAUUUGAAUAACAAAUUCAUCGACAUUCAUAUUGUGUUUAGGUGGACAAAGGGGUUUGCAACGAAGAUGCAGCUAAAACCAUCGUCGAGAGCUAAAAAAAAUAUUAUGGACGAAGGAAAGGAAGGUGGUAGAGAAGGUGCAGUGGUGGAAAAAGCCGAUGGAGGUAGUAGAGUAGAGGAUCAUCAUCGACAUAAAGGAUAUGAGAAGAAGAUGGAGUUAGGGCGAGAGAUGAGAGAGAGAUUUUUUUUUCUCACUCUACACGAAUUCCCAAAGGUCAAUCUUGUCAUUUUAAAUAUUCUCUCAGAUAUGAUUGCCUUUUUUGACCGACUCACGUCUAAAUACUAAAAAAAUUGUUGAAAGAAUUGCAACGUUUUUUAAGAAAAUAUUAAAUAUUGUAACUUCUGGUUUUAUUCGGAUUCAAUUGCUACUGCCUAAUUUUUGAAGGAUACAUACUUAUUUAUUCCCGCGUAUGAGAUUAAAAAAUAUUUUUAAAAAUGUUACUAUUUUUAUCUUUUUUAAAAUUGAUAAUCUAAUUGCCAAACAUAUCAGUAGCAGUUUUAAUUCAUAUUUAUAUAUAUAUAUAUAUAUAUAUAUAUAAUUUUAAUUUAUUUUUUUAUUCUUAUAUCUUUACUCAUUAAAAAUUUUUAGAAUUUAUAAAUUUAUUUUGUUCAAAUACUUAUAUUAAAUGUACACUAAGUCAUAAUCUAAUGGUAAGUGUAUGUACGACUUGUCAAUAAAAAUUUCGAUUCGAAUCCCUCCUCAAUAUUAAAAAAAAAAAAAGCGUUGGAUAUUAAUUAUUUAGAUCACUCAUUAAAAUUAUAAAUCUCUAUACAUAAAUAUCAAAUAGGCUAUCAUUCUAUGGGAAAAAUAUCAUUUUGUAAUACUAAUUUUAAUUGGGAGGAGGAUUAUUAUUAGAGGAUUUUUUUUGGAAGGUAAGAAUUAGAGGGUGGAGAAUGGAGGAGUGAGACAAUGGUUAAAUUGACUCAAAAUAUUAAAUAUGAUUUUUAAAUUAUUUUAAAUAAAUUUAGGGAUUAAAUUGACCUAAAAAAUAAAAUCAUAUUUUUUUAAUCAUUUUAUACAAAUUUAAAAAUUAAAUUAGCCUAAAAGGUGGGUCAAAUAUGAUUCUUUUAAUCACGCUAAACAAAUUUAAAGAUUAAAUUAGACUUUAUUCCUAAUUUUAAAAUACAUCAAUAAGGAAUAAUUAAUUAUGAAUUACAUUACUAUCCCUUUGCAACACAAUGUGGCACGAGUCAAUCACUUGUCUGUUCGAACAGUGACUUUGUAAUUAUUGUAUAACCAGUGGUGACCCCACGUGUUGUACUGAUUUUAAAAUUUUUUAUUGAUUUUAAUUGAAAAUUUUAGAAAAUAAAUUGUAUUUUUACUUAUGAUAGUUUUGUUUUUUAUUUAAAUAUUUAUAUUGAGAAGUAUUUAAAAAUAAAUAUGUUUUAUCAUUUACACACAAAAAAUAAUAUUUAAUCAAAACCUAUAUGGUAUUAUGUACUAUAAAAUAUAUAUAUUAUUUUAAUUCUAAAACUUUAUUUUAUUACAAUAAAAAUAUUUGUAGAAUAACAUUUCUAGAGUUAGAUUCAAAAAUUAUAGGAUCGUUCUUGAAAUUUGAAAGAUAAAAUACCUCAACAACUUCGAUAAUGGUUAGAAACUCUGCCUCGUUCGAUUCAAGGAUGCCCGUAUUUCCAACCAACAAACAUAAAACAAAUCCUUCAUUUUUUCCAAGUACUCGUGCAUUAUUUAGUGGUCAACAUUUGGUAGAUAAUUAACUUAAUAAUAACAAAUACUCCGAUCAAGUUAUUUGGUAAUAAUAUUAAUUAUUUUAAUAACUGUUAGUUAUUUUAUUAUCUUUUAGCUAUUAAAUUUUAAUUGAUAGCUAUUUUUAAAGUGAUUUAAAUUAUUAUUGUUCUAUAAAAAUAGUCGUUUAAUUAGUUAUUUAACCUUAAAUGAUAAAAAAUGCUAUUAACUGUUUAAAUAGUUGAAUUCGAGAGAAAAAAAACGAAUAUAAUUAUAUGAAAAAUUUAAUUAAUUAAUGUAAAAUGCUAAACAUAACCGUAUUUAACGUUUUAUAAAAAAUUCUCUUAAAAUCCAAAAGCUACGAUUAAUACAUAGAGUUUUGACUUUGUCAAAACGCUAAAAAAUAGUCAAGGUGAACAAUAUGUCGCGUAGGUUAAUUUAUUCAUGUAAAAAACAUGUCUAGAGAUGAAACGAAUUUUAAAAUAAAUUUAAUCUUAGACAUAUGUGGAAUGCUUAAACAAAUUUUUUUUAAAAAGAAUCUAUUUUCAGAUAGGACGGAUAUUUAUCAGAUAGAGAGCCAAUGCAAUGAACCAAAAGCACUACUCAUACAUAUAUGGACAGCAAAGAUAGGGAAGCGGAAUUUUUUUUUUUUUUUUUUUUUUUUUUUUUGUAACGUCAAUUAUGCAAACAUGGGAAAUAGAAUGUCAGCCACACAAAUUGCAACAGAAGAGAGAUAAUCAUAAUACUGUUACUUAGUAUACACAUUAAUUAAUCAAACCACUCCGUACACAUAAAACAGAUUAAAGUAGAUGAAAUAUAAUACACUCAAUAAGUUUGGCUCAGUAUUAAUUUAAAUUAUUUAUAAAUUUAAUUUUUGAACAUUAAUCUGAGCCUAAUUUAAAUUAUUAUAAUAACAGUAACAAGAUAUAGAAAUUGACAGCAUACCCUUUGGUGUGAUCCCGAGUUCAUCUUAAAAUCCGACCGUUGCAUUCUAUGGUUUCCGGCGGAGGUAUGGACUCGAUCCUGGAGGCUUUUUCGAAUUUGGAGGAGGAAGGCAGUAGGAUUUGCCUUGACCGCAACCAAAAAGUGCAGGAGGCUUUAAUGUAUCGUAAGUUCCCGGUUUCAGUUUGGUGCUACCAACUGCAAGCAUUCUGUUGAUCUCCGAGUCCAUCAUGAACCCUAAUUCCAUGUUGGUGUCUGCUAUGGAAAAGGAGAUGUUGCUGAUCAUUUCCUGCGGAGUACUUAUAACUCCGAAACAACUGCUUCCGCUCGUCAGAACCAAAAUCACCACCAUCGCUAGAGAGAGACUCCUCAUUCCUUUUUUUUUUUUUUUCUUUUUUUUAACUACUAUUUUCUUUUAUGCCAAAUGGAAAUACAUUUGCGAGAGAGCUUGGUAUAACAAACUAUUAGUUGUAUGACAUUGACUUGUUGUCUGAAUUUCAAUUGAUCCCUUUAAUAAAUGGCCGUGAUGAUAGCUGCGGUAGCAACCGCAAGAUUGUAAUCCCUCUUUAUAUAAAAAAAAAAAAAAAAAUCAAAAUUCUAUCUUUUUAUUACUUGUACCGUUGGCUAAUAUAAAUUUUAUAAUAGUUCUAAAGGCCGCUGCAAACUUUUUUUUAUGAAAUAUUAAACGAUCUAACUUUUAAUAUUUCACAAUAUUGAUUAAGUUUCUUUGACAAUUGUACUCAUUGUUUUAUUUUUUGAAUUAAACUAAUAAAACAAUUAAUGAUAACAUUCGGUAACAUAAUGUUUGAAUUAAUUUUUAGAUGUCAAUAUAGCGUUUUAUGAAAAGUUAAACCAUGUAACAUUGAGCCUUUAGCAUUUUAUGAAACGCUAUUUAAAAUAGUUAACAGUUAAACACUGCUAAAAUAACUAAUAACUAUUAAGAUAGCUAAUUUAGCAUGCCUAAACUUUUUAUUUUUUUCUAUUUUAGUGUCUGAAUAAAAAACGCUGUUAAUUGAGUGCACAAACUUUUAAAAAUUUAUUAUUAAGUGUCUCUAACAGUGCUGGCCGAAGGGAAUAUGAUUAUACAAACCCAUUUUUUUUAAUAAGUGGCAGCUGAAGUAGACAAAAAAAAAAAAAAGCUACAAAUUAGCUAAAUCAUACUUCGACUUUGUGGGAAUUGACCUUUUUAACCCUCAUUUAAUGUUGCCCGAUUAUCAAAUCUACAAAUAAUUUCAAUUAGCCUUCUUAACCUUCAUUUAGUUGGUAUAAAAUUAUUUAGUUGGUAUAAUUUUAUAUUAUAAUUUGAAUGAUCAAUAUUUGUGAGUAAACGUAAAACAAACACUCCUUAACAUUACAAAACGACAACACUACCUUCUCUAAGCAGCAGGGCGGCCAUCGUUCUGCAAUUCACGAUUCCGAUUCAAAAAAAUUUAAAGUUGAAAUUAAAUCGAAAAUUGAUGGUUCUAGUUUCGGUUUGAAACCGAACUGUUAUGGUUCUGGUUUCGUAACAAUUUCAGCCAAUUUUUUGACUGAUUUUUUAACGAAUCGCAUAAUUAUGAAAUUAAAAAUUUAGAAAAUUUAAAAUUCAAAUAUAUAUGAAAUAAUUUUAGAAAAACUUUAAGAAAAAUUUUUAAAAAAAGAUUGUACUUAUUUUUUUUAAAAAAAAUGGCUUGAACUUAAUUUAGUUUUUUUAAAUGAAAAGUGAUAUUUAUUGUAAAUCCAAAAAAUCAACUUUCUACGAAUACUCUUAAAACUAGCUGUAGUUAUUAGGAGGGUUAAUUUGAGGAUUUCAUAAAAAUAUUUUCAAAAAAAAUUUGCUGGAACCGAGUGGAACCACUAGUCCGAACCGCCAAAUCUAACCGGUUGGAAAAAAAAGCCAAUUAUAACAUAUUCUAACUGAUUCACAGUUCCUCAAAAAUUGAAAUCAAAAUCGGAUCGUAGCCCCUUAAUUCUGGUUCCAUUUUCACAGGUUUCAAACCCGCAGUUUCGAUUUCGAAAGCUGUGAAAUGGCUACCCCUCCUAAGCAGUCCUACUAUCGUUCAUUUUACAAUUCAAACAAAAACAACCACCUCCAAUCAAUCAACAAGCAGCACACCACCACCACCACUAAUCUCCUCCCUCUCUUGCAUCAGAUUUGCUAAAAACAGUACUUGCAGUAGUCCUCUUUC